rnacentral:lncRNA from 1 species
AAAAAGAAAUGUCACGCAAAAUAACUAAACAAAAAAAAGCUUGUUUUAUGACUUUUAUCUGACUUUAGAAACAAAUUGAUUUUUUUUUUCAAAAAUAAAAUAAAACUGUUUGAAUGUUUCAGGACAUAUUUUUGACCUGUUUUGAGAUUUUAAUUUUAAAACUGUUUCUAAAAACUGAUUUUGAAAACAGGUUAUGAAAAUAUAUAGUUUUUAAAUUUUACAACUUUUAAAAACAGAAAACAAUUUUUAAAAAUUGCAAACAAACAUAAUAAUUUUCUUGGUACAUGACAUAAAAGUCUACUCUAUCUCAAUGAUUUUGGAGUAAUUUACAUACCAAGGUUGUCACCAACUCUGAAAAAUUGCUCCUGAGCCCACUGCGUGUAGUUAACCUCAAGAGUCCAACCCUUGUCACCACCCACGAUGUGAUCAGUUGCCAUUGCAACGGAGGAAAGCAAAGCCAUGGAAAUGACAAGAAAAGCAACGCGAGCAGAAGAAGAAGCCAUUUGAUUUGAACUAAUAAUUGUCAAUUAAAGUCACUUACUUAAAAUCUCAAAUAACUUGUAGGACUCGUUAUAUAGCAAAUGCUAUAUAUGCAAAUUGUGUGUUAUUGCUUAGAUGAUUUUUUAACUCACAACCCAUUAAGCUAUAUAUAGGAUUUGUACGUACAUUGAUUUUAUCGAAAUAUAUACAUAUGGAGAAGCUUCACAAGGUAUCGGGGUGCCGGAUAAGAUCGGCUUUUAGCAGUUUACUAUGAUAAUGAAGUUGCAGCCCAAAACAGUUGUUUAAUCAAAUAUUCUUUGACUAAGUGAGGAAGUGGAGACAAAUGGAAGUACAAGGUUUUUAUCGAAUAGACUUAAACAUUGAAGCAAUAUAUAGCAUUGACGAAUAUGCUUAGCUUUUAUUCAUGUGUUUAUAAAUUAACUUAAUAUAAAUUAAUUAUGAUCUUUUUAAUUAUACUCUUAUGAACUUUUUAAUUAAUUCAAUUCAAAUAUCAAAGGAAAACGUAAAAACAACACCUAAUAAACUACUCCAAUUUUUCUUUAACUAAAGUGAAAUUCUGGUUCUCGCACAGAACAGAUGUCGAACGCGAUGUUGGGACAAUCGGUUCCACAAUUGCACAACAGUACAGAAAUUAAGCCACACGUUUAAUACAGUAGAAACAACACAGUUGCAACAAUAAAUCACUAAAAAAACACAGAGAAUUGUUAACCCAGUUCGGUGAACAUCACCUACGUCUGGAGGAUACCAAUCCAGGAGUCAAUCCACUAUCUUAGUAAUAGCUCUCAGGUCAUACAUGAAAGUCCCUCCUAUACCUAAGUACUCACCCUUAGUAUAGAGCCUCUUCAAUGUCUACUACUAUUACAACUAGUGAUUCUAGCUUAGCCCUUCCCUCUAAGCUACGAGGAAACUUCCCCUAACUCCUAAUGAUCACUGGCACAGUGACCGAUCCUUUACACAAGAGAUUGAAAGACAGAUCUCAUGAUCAAAAACUAAUGCAACAACUCUCAGCUAAUACAAGAACAUAAAGCUGCUGAGAGAACAACAGAAACACGGUGUGAACUCACGAAUAUGAAACCCUAAUUUCUCCAACCAAAGGCACACCUAGCAACUAGGUUUAGGUCUUCUUAAAUAUCAGUUGUUCAAGCCUUGUCUUUGAUGGGCUUGAACGAACAAAGGAGUCCACAACAAAACUUCUGGAAAGAAUCUUCAAGGAAUCAAAUCUUACCAGAAUAAAGUAACAGAACCAAGUAAAACGGAAUUCAAACUUUGAGAUAGACUUGGUUCACACGUUAUCAAUCUUGUUACUUCAGCCAAGAUUAAAAACAAACAAUCCUUCAGAAGAUAACAAAAGCAUAAAACGCACAGCAUAGGAUAAGUCUUCUGAAACCCCAUACAGUCAGCAACCAAACAAACAUCUUGAUUUCAGAGAUUGAACCACCAACAUACGUAAACACAACAUGUUGCUCCAGAUGUUGGAACAUAUGGUUGCAUAUCAUGUUUUGAGCAAAAUGUAGCCAAUCAAAAGAACUACAUAAAGCAUCGUCGUCAAUCUAUUUAUAAUACAUUAAAAUUGAGGUUCGAGCUACGUUGACGUUUUAGACACAUACUGAUUGAGAAUUGUUAUUCAGACCCACCCCACAGUUAUUUAGACCCCUAAAAAAGUGUAAAAAUACUAAAAUACCCUUAAUGAAAAAAUAUAAAAAAAAUCCCCAUCCUCACAUUCUCUUUCCUCUUUCUUCUUUCUUCCACCCACCACCCACCACCACCACCACAACCUCCAUAACCUCCAUCUUCUGUCAUUUUUGAUAAUUUUCAAUUGUAGGGAGUUAUUUUUGUUGUUUUUAAUUUUUUUUUUACAAAUAAACGUACUUUAGAAGUGCGUUACGCACACACAUUAAAGGUGUGUCCAUCACGCGCUAUAAAGUGCGUCGUUAACGCACUUCUAACGUACGGAGUAAGCGCACUUUUAAAGGGCGAAUUAUUGCAAAUUUGUACAUAACUGAUAUCAGAUGAUUUUUAAAAAUUAUGAGACUCCACGAUAAAUCAAGAUAGAAUAUUUGGAGAUUUAUGAUGGAAUAAAAAAAUUUCAAAAUUCAAAAUAAAAUACCAGAUGAAGGAAUUUGGCUAAAUUACACAAAUCUUAGGACCUUCGAUGAAGGUAUCGAAGGUCCUAAGGUAUGAUCAUUUGAUUUUUCUUUUCAACUUUGCAGUUGGUCGCCUGAGCAACCGACACAAAAAACUGUCCACUUUUCCAAACCACACUCCUCCUGGUUGUGAAACGACUACUAGAAGGUGUAGGAAUUUGGAGAUUCCGACUGCAUAUUUGAACUCGGAAUGGUCCUGUUACCUUAACCAAGAAGUGCCAGUCCCAAAUUCCUUCCAGAAACUAAACAGGAAAAAAAAUUGUGCGUUCCGCUUGCACUGUGAAAGUGCGUGAUGGACGCACUUUGCAAGUGCGUUUUGGUCGCACAUUCAAAAUGCGAGCGAAAAAAAAUUUAUAAAGGGUUUUUUCGGAUUUUACGAAUUUAACAGGGUCUAAAUUGCUGUCGGACAGGGUCCGAAUAACAAUUCUCAUACUAAUUUUGCCACCUCAACUAUAAUCUCACGUGUCACUUGUGCUUUCCUUUCCAAAUCCCAUGUGAAGCAUAAAUUUGUCCACGUAUUCCUUUCCACCAUUCAUAUUUUCCAGCUUAGCAACCGCUUCAGCUUCACAAUCUCUUCACCAACGGCCAAAAUCCUUUAAUUUCUUCCCAAAACCCCGUCAAUACCUUCUCCAUCUUCCUCUUUUCACCUUCGCUUGAUCCUUCCAAGAACUCCUCAAAUCAUGCUCUGGUGGGACACCCUCAUCCUGGCUCCCUGCUUGCCUCACCUUUGAGAGGUCAGGCAAUUUGCAACACCCACUUUCACUCCCCAUGUGGUUAAUAGGGAUCUAUCCCCCUCUUGUACGUUUGGGACGCACAUUGCCGAUCCGCAUUCUGUGCGACUGGAAUUCGAUCCUAACUCUCAUUCUAGUGCACUUGGGACCACCUCAUGCGGGCUCUUCGAUUGAGUGAAUGUUGCGAUGGCCAAAACCGCUCGAAUUAUUAAUAUAGAUCCCUAAUUGUUUUUCAAUGCAAUAAAUCCUUUAAGUUGUUGUUUGAAGUUUUCGUCCUUCCACCCAAUUGAAGGUUGAUAUGUCAAUGUCAUGCUCGCGUGUAAGUUUUUAAUGAUGUGAAUUUUUUAAAAUACUCACGUGGAACCCAUAGGGACCAAAAUCAAAAAAUAAUUAUUUUUAAAAUAGUUUUUCAUCAUAAUCUAUCAUCUUUAUCUUUCACCGUAUUUUUCUAUCUUCAACCCUUAAACUUAAAAAAUAAUUCGAGAGAUAUUUCUAAUCCAAGAAAAUAAUUAUUUAUUUUUUUAUUAAAAAACCCCUAAUUUUUCCUAAUGCUGAAUUCAUCUUUGUUCAUCUUUCUCAUUUGAAAAUGAAACCUAGAAAAUAUUCAAUUCUUCUCCUUCAUUUUAAAACACCUUUCCUUUCUAUUAAAAACGUACACCUGAAUCAGUCUCGUCACCCUUUCCUAACCUUUAAAAUACUUUCUCCCCUAAAUCUUCUCUCCUUUGCGCAUCCGUCAACUUCCUCCUCUAUCUCUCUCUAAAAAAAUAUUACACAACCUUAGAGAAAGACCUAGGAGGCUCAAUUUUUCCUUUUCCUUCCUGUUCUUUCCCUAAAAUGUGCCCUUCCUCCUUCUCAAUGUCAUGCUCGCAAAAACAACGACACACCUGCCACUUAUCUGGUGAGAUCGAUCGGGGUCCCUCUAGGUAACUCUAAAAUAGCGACAUGGUCACUCAGCUCUUGAGUCAUUCGUGACGAUAUGGAUUGAUUCAGAUGUGGGUUUUUUGGGAAAAAAAUUUGAAUUUUUUUUGUGUGAUGAUUAAGGAUAAAGAAGCAGGAAAUGGAGAUAGAUUUUGGGUUUUCAUAUACUAGGUUUUUCGAAUUUUUUUAAAAGGAAAUUUUUGUGAGAUAGGUUAUGGGUUUCAAAAUGGCUCUGAAUUUUUUGAUUUUGUUGUCAUAGCAAAAUUUUGAUUUCUUUUAGAUAGGUUCUGGAAAUUUCGAAGACGUGUGCUAGGUUUUCAAAAUGAAGAAAGAUUUUUUUUUCUUUCUUUUAGAUUUCUCGGUUCUGCAUUUUCAUGAACGGGGGGGGGAAGAGAAUGAAGAUGAUUGGAGAUGGCUAAAAACAAAUUUAGUCGCUUUAUGCUCCUUGUAGAAAAAAAUUAAUAUAUAAGGAAUAAAAAUUACACGUCAUUAAAAACGUACAUGCGGGCAUGUGACACAUCAACUCUCAAAUGGAUGGAUGAAUGAAAACCUCAAACAAUAACAAGUUAAGGGACUGAUUUCUUUGAAAGUUGUAUUUAAAUACUAAUAAGAUCAUGCGGGAUUUCUUGUGGGGAGGUGGGGGUGAGGUGAGGAAGAUUGCUUGGGUGAAGUGGUCUUCUAUUUGCAAGCCUAAAGAAGCAGCAGGUCUUGGUAUAAAAGAUUUGGACCUUUUUAAUAAAUCUCUGUUGGGCAAGUGGAGGUGGAGAUUUUUUACUGAGCCUUAGAGCCUUUGGUGUCAGGUUAUUAAGGCUAAGUAUGGUGGAAUGUCAACUAUGAAGGAAUCUCUGUGGUGGAAAGAUGUGAAGGCUUCGUGUUGUGAUGAUGAUGGUGACUGGUUUGAUUUGGGAGCUCAAAAGAUUGUUAGGGGAGGAAAUGAUACAAAAUUCUGGCAUGAUGAUUGGGUUGCUAGUGGAAAGCUCUGUGUUAAGUAUCAUAGAUUAUAUAAUUUGUCCAGGCUCAAAUAUGAAAGCGUACAAAAUUGUGGUGAAUGGGUCGAUGGGGCUUGGAGUUGGAAGUUGAGAUGGAGGAGGCCACUGUUGGGGAGAGAAUUGCAGUGGUUAAAUAUGAUGCUAGCUGAAGUGGGGAUAAUUAGUCUUAUGGAGGGGGUGACUGAUAAGUGGUGUUGGCUCCCAGGCACAGAUGGUGGUUUUACAGUUAACUCAUUCUAUUCUUUUUUGCAGGCACCGAUGUUAUUACCUACUGAUCAAAUUUUUGCCCGGGUUUGGAAAUCAGUUACACCAUCCAAUGUGAAGGCUUUUCGUGGAGGCUCUUAUUGGAUAGAAUUCCUUGCCUCUUGAACUUGAGGAAGCGCAAGGUUUUACAGACUCAAGAAGAAACGAUUUGUAAGCUGUGCUCUUUGGAGGUGGAAUCAACUGCUCACCUUUUGUUCUCUUGCCCAAUUUCUUUGGAUAUUUGGCGGGAGUGCUACCGGUGGUUGGGUAUCUGUACAGUCCUGCCAAGAAAUUCCAGAGACCAUUUAUUGCAAUUUCAUUUUGGCGGGGAUCAGAAACAACAGAGAGGCGCUGAUUCAAUUUGGUUGGCGGUGGUGUGGUCAAUUUGGUUGAUGAGGAACGAACUUAUUUUUAGGAAUGGGGUGCUGGAUAUUCCUACAAUUAUGGAAGUGAUUAAAUGGAGAUCAUGGAUUUGGAUAAAGCGUAAGACUGGAAGGCUUAGCUGUUCUUUAUUUGAAUGGUCUUCUUACCCCAUUAUUUGUUUGAAGGAACUGUAAUGUCACUGGCCUUGCAGUGUUGAGUCCAUGGAUAUUGGUUUUGAGUAUCAGUUUAGGCAACGAAAUUGGGUUGUUUGUGGCUUUUACUGUAUCAGGUAUCUGCUGGGGUAGCUGUUGAGGUUUGGUGUUUGUUUUUAUUUUUCCUUCUAGACUCUCUUUGUUGUAUUAUGGGUUGAGUACCCCUUGUACUCCCAUUAAUGCAUUUCUUUGCUUAUAAAAAAAAACUAAUAAUUUGUUAAAGUCCAGGGACCACAAACAUAUUUAACCCAAGUUUUUUCUGAAAGACCAAAGAUGUAUUAAUAAGAAGUACAAGGGUGUGAGCCGUUGAAGACAUACUCCAGGCACGAUGUCUUAUGGACUUGUGGAGUGGUCAAGAACUUCUCAUAUUAUAGGCUCACCUUAAUGGUGCUUAAGCGAGGCGAUCCCUCUCCAAAUGGUGGUUGUACGUGGUGAGCAAAGGGUCCCCGACAGUUGACCUCAAGGCAAGCCUUCAGUGAUCAAGGCAUAGCUAAGGUUGAUUCCUUAUUGUAGGGCUUCGAUCUCAUUAGGGCGGCCAAGUGUAGUUGACAGUAUUUACGGGCUCUUAGGUCAUUAUUGUAUGAGGCCCAAGAAUCCAAUCUGAGACCAGAUUUAGGGUUUCACACCUUUCCAUAUAAAAGGAAAAGGUAUUUUAGUACUAGGGAUGCUCGCUCGAUUUAUAUAAAAGCGACUAGGUCAUUGGAAAUCUCUACUUUCGCAAAGUUCUGGCUUAGCAAGUUUCAUUGGGCCACUAAACGUGAAGAUAGAAAGGCAUGCUGACCCGCUUCAACUUCAAAGAGGAUUUAUCACGGGAUUGGUGUAAGUGUAAUGCAUUUAACUUAACAUAUAUCAUGUAUAGUCCCGGAUAAACUUAACACGUAAACACCGUCCAAAUUAAAUAUAGACAUCUUUUAGAUCAGAAUAAAACAAUUCAUCAUUAUUCAUUGAACAAACUCAAACAACUAUUGCAAUCUCCCGCCAAUAGGUCCAUGCAAAUUCAUAUCUAUAAAACAAAAACAAAGCUGAAAAUUAAGUGCCAUUGUCUCUAACACAAAGAUGGUUGUGGUGUUAUCCGUGAGCAGGAGAAGGAGCAGGAGAUGGUGAACCUUCCCCUUGAACAUUAAUGACAAGCUUCAUUUCACGAGCGCAGUGAUCAUCCACGCCACAAAUGUACCAUUUCCUCCCUCCAGUUUUGAGUGGAAUGAUGUCAUGUCCGGAGGAAAGUGCUUCAUUUGCUGGUGGGUUGGUGCAGUCCUUAAACAUCGUCCCAUUCACUUUGAAAACAUUGUGUGAGAUAUUGUCAUAAAUGAACACUGCACAAUUAGGUGAUCAAAGAGAAAGAGGUAUUAGAUUGAAAGUUAUAUAUAUAGAAAAGAAAAAUAUCUUUCGAAAUAAAUAAAAAAUAGAAACAACAAUUUACAUGUUAUUAUAUAUACAUCCAUUUUUUACAGUUGUAUUAGUCAGCAUGCAUGUAUAUAUAGCUCGAUGAGGAUUUAUGCUCACUAUGUGGAAGAGAGUUUUGGAAAAUACGAGUGCACACGGGUCGGAGACGAUUUGGUAAAAAACGACCACCAGACACAAGCUUGAGAGAGGGGAAGACAGGGAGAAGGUGGCAACGUUUUCUUGAUGUGGGAAAAUUAGAAUGAAAGGUGAUGUAAUUGUAACCCUAAGUUACCUUUUUUCUCCUAUGAUUGGUUUGGAUCGGGUUUAAGGGUUUGUAUUUCACGAAUCCGAUAUCUAUCUGAACUACACUAAUUGGGUUAUUUCCUUUGAAAUCCAACUCGUCUCUCUCUAUACAUCUUUUAAUUGCUAUUAUAAGUCACAAGUAAUGAAUUCCCGAAUGUAUUUUCAAAAAUACAUUCUAGAAAUUAGUUUCUAGUAGUAGUGUUUAUAACUUUAAAUGUUACCGACAGUUUUACAAAGUUAAAACUCGCAUAUGUCGAUUGAAUGUUUAGAGUUUAUAAAUCAUUUUCCCUAUGCAAAUAGCUAGAUGCAGUUCAAAUUCUGAGCAAGUUGCAACUAUUUGUGUUUUUAGUUUUUACAUACCAAGAUUGUCGCCAACACGGAAAACUCUGUCCUGAGCCCACUGAGUGUAGUCAAAGUCAAGAGUCCAGCCAUCAUCAUCACCCACAAUAUGAUCAGUAGCCAUAGCAACUGAGGAAACCAAAAUCAUUGAAACAGCAAAGAAGGCAGCAUAACCCAUGGUGGAGAUUUAAAGCUAUAUAAGUAAUCUAAUUAACAAGGACUAUAGUUAGCAAGUGUUAUUGCUUAUUUAGAUGAAUUGUUAUACAUGUUUGCAUUUCACCUUGGGCAAUAUAUAUAUAUAUAUAUAUAGGACUUGUAAAUUGAUUUUAUCGAGAUAGAUGGAACUUGGAAGCCGCGUAAUCGGAUCUGGUCGGCUUUUCUAAUUAAGUAAUUAUAUAUAUAUUCUGAGUUAAUUUGCAAUGCAGAACUGAACCUAUAUUUAAUCAUGAAGUUCAAUAUAACAAAUAUGUCUCGAUACCUUUAAAUCACCUCUCAAUACGUUUCAUGUGGAACGUGUCAAAGGGAAGGAAGAAAUUAAGAGGCUAGAUUUGUGGCCUAGGCCUGCCUUUAUUUCUGCGUUGUUGUGUAAUUGUUAACAAUAAAAUUUUCACAAACCAUCCCUCUCUACUAAGUAGAAAUAUUAAGAGAAGAGAGUUUUUUUUUAUCAUAAAGAUAAAUCGCAUUCUUCAAAGAUCGAUCUCUGGACCUUCUUCACCCAACUCAUAUGUCUUAUAGCUCUUACCACUUGAGCUAUCAGUCGAGGAUGAAGAAAAGGGAGUGAAAUAUGAGAUAUGAUGAGUAAUGUUAUGGGGAAAGAAGAGAAAUAAGUAAAAAUGAGAUGAAAGAUAAAGUGGAGUGUGAAUGAAUCAAAACUCAAGUGUUAUAUAAUGUCUUUGGUUGAUUCGCGUUGGCUUGCACAAGUACAUGGACAAAAUGUACAAACACCAAAACAAGGAUAAGAUAUAAGUUUUACUUAAACUUCCACAUAAGUGAAAAUAGAGUGGAGAAAAAUAGGAAGAAAAGAAAGAGAAUUAAGUUUUGUUAACAUCUUUCAUCUCUAUGCUUUUAGAGAUAUAGGGAUGAAGAGAGAGAAAUUCAUGAUAUGACACGUGAUAUGAUAGAAACAGUAGAAAGACAUGAAAAAACGUGGGUGAAAAUGAAUUAUAAGCGAAAGUGGAGUUUGAACAUAGGGAAUUGUUAUUCAGACCCCCCCCCUCGAUAGCUAUUUGGACCCCUGAAAAAGUGUAAAAAUACUAAAAUACCCUUAAUGGAAAAAAAUAAUAAAAAAAUCCUCACCUCACAUUCCCUCUCCUCUUUCCUCUCUCCUUACCUCUUUCCUCUUUCUUCCACCCACCACCUCCACCCACCACCACCACCGCCGCCGCCACCACUGCCGCCGCCACAACCACCACCGAUGCUACCACCACCACCACCUCAAUCUUCUGUCGUUUUUGAAAACUUCCAACUGUAGAGAGUUGUUUUUGUCGUUUUUAAUUUUUUUCUGCAAAUAAGCGCACUUUAGAAGUGCGUUACGCACACACUUUUAAAGUACGUCACUCACGCACUUUAAAAGUGCACGUACUUUAAACGUGCGAAGUGAACGCACUUUUAAAAAGCGAAUUGCUGCAAAUUUGUACAUAACUGAUAUCAAAUGAUUUUUAAAAAUUAUGAGACUACAUAAUAAAUUAAGAUAGAAUAUUUGGAGAUUUAUGGUAGAAUAAAAAAAAUUUAAAAUUCAAAAUAAAAUACCAGAUGAAGGAAUUUGGCUAAAUUACACAAAUCUUAGGACUUUCGAAGAAGGUGCUAAGGUAUGAUCGUUUGAUUUUUCUCUUGAACUUUGCAAUUGGUCGCCUGAGCAUCCGACACCAAAAACUGUCUACUUUUCCAAAUCGCACCCCUCCUGAUUGUGAAGCGACUACUAGAAGGUGUAGGAUUUUGGAGAUUCUGACUGCAUAUUUGAGUUAAGAAUGGUCCUAUUAUCUUUACCAAGAAGUUUCAGUCUCAAAUUUCUUCUAGAAAUUAAACAGGAAAAAAAGAAAGAAAUUUGUGCGUUCCGCUCGCACUGUGAAAGUACGACCAAAACGCACUUACAAAGUGUGUGAUGGACGCACUUUGAAAGUCCGAGACGGACGCACUUUGAAAGUGCGAGCGAAAAAAAUUUAGAAAGGGUUUUUCGGAUUUUACGAAUUUAACAGGGUUCAAAUAGCUAUCGGGGGGGUCUGAAUAACAAUUCCCUUAACAUAUCAUAACUCGAAAGUAAAGAUGUGAUAGGUAAUUUAAUUGAAAUAUAAGAGAGAUGGAUAAAAAAUGAAUGUGGAAAUGAAAUGAGAGUGUGAAUAAUUCAUAGCUCCCAAAACAACUAGUUUACCCUAUUGUGCGGGUUAGAAAUAUCGAAUCUUAUAUUAAUUGUGAUCAAGACUUUAUAUUGAUUGUGAUCAAGACUCUGCAUCCUACAAACUGGAAUGCUCCUAUGUGCAAAGUCUCAUUCUUCUAGUAUCCAAAGCGAUGGCGAUAGGCGUUGGAUGCCAAAAUCUAUAAGACACUUCAAUGUUUAAGUUAGCUAGGAAGAUUGAGAGACUUAAGAUGAGGAUAUAAUAAGUGUGUACUGGAGAAAUGUUUCUCUUUUACGUAUAUAUACGUAGGAUUGUUGUAAACCUAGUGACGAUCAUGCCAAAUAUGUUGUAAUCUCGUAACAAAUAUAGCAAGUGAUAGUAGAUAUUACCUAAAUUAGUAAUGUUUAUUACAUUAGUUAUGAAGAACCUCUUCUAAUUGAGUCAAUGUAAUGAGCCUACAAUAUUAUUCGGAAAAAGUCCCCCUCCCCCCAUACCAAGUAUCUGAGGUAUGAGGAUACUUAGGUUGCCAAUGUCCAAAAUAGUCUCUCUGGUUCAAGGAAAUUGAGGUGUUCUGGUAUGUCUUAUUCAACAUACUUGUAUAUGAGGAGAGCAUGAUUGAUUUGAAGGCAAGUGUCUGACAAUAACAUGGCCCUCAUCACACGUACUUGACUCAACUCCAUCACUAGAUGACAUCUAUGAUGGUAUUAAUGACCAUGGUGAAUAUGAAAUUUAGGAUUCUAAGGAGCUCAAUAGAGAGGUCCUCAGCAUUACAGGGCAAAGGAGAAUGUUUUUGAUGAUGAUGGCAAACCAAUGAUUUUCUCGUAGGCCAUAUGUUGACUUAAAUAUCAUUAUUCAUAAUUAAUUUUCUUUAACAUUAUAACAUUGAUUGCUGAAUUUUAUCCAAUCGGGUGGCCUCAAAGACCUUUACUCUUGUAAUCCAGGACUGAUAUCAGGAAGGGAUUAGAUCGUUUCACACUAUUAGGAAGGAUAAAACUCUGCCGACAAAGAACGACGUUUUUUGCGCGACUAAGGGACUACUUUUUCGUAUGUCUCAAAUCUCUUCAAGUCGGCACUCUUCAUCUAACUUUGAUCAACACUAACAUUGCAGGCCACAACUAGGGGACUACUACUUCGUAUGUCUCAAAUCUCUUUAGCUAAUCUAGCUCCGACCAACUGCAACAUUGUUGGCCAGGGCUAGGAGACUACUUUCUCAGAUACCUUUAACACACCCUAAUUGAGUGUAGGCCACACUGACACCAACAAUUGAAGUUGAUCAAAGAUGUUCCUGAUAAAGUCAAUAAACCUAAUUUUCCCAUUGAAUGACUCAACCUAUAUAACGUCAACCCUAAUCACAUGGCAACCAACUUAUACAUAAAAUCUUCGAGAUAAUCAGAUUGGUUGACUCAUACAUAUAAACACUCGAGAUAAUCAUAAAAGACAUAAAAUAUUCAACUUACACAUUUGAGACAAUUUUUCCAAAAGAUGAUAUAUCUCACUACUCUGAGAAAUAAAGCACUAAACCGACUCAUGAGUGGUAGGGCGGCCCACACCCUAGAAUAAAGUUGUGAGCAUAAACUGACCUAACAACACUAAGUUAAAUAUCACACUACCACAUAACUAGUUUAGCAAUUUGUAGCACCUGGCCAAACCCCAAACCAAAUCUCAUGAGUAGGAUAAGACACGCUAAAGCCCCUUAAAAAUCCUUCCCGCUCAAAACAAGUCAACGUCAUAAUGCACGAGACUGCUUCCCAAACUUGAGGAUGGACUGACACCAGAUUGCCAUUCAUUUCCCCUGAUACCAUGACAAGCACAGGAGAUUGGACGGUUGACUGCAAUGCGUGUGUGCAAAGGAAAUAAAGUGACAUUGACAUUACCUUAACCCCCGAACAGAAACCGAAGGAAUCCUCACCAUCCGAAAUCUUGCUAAUGAGACGAUUAGAGGGAUGACCGAGGAACAAGCCACACUCUAGACAACCAAAGAUUUCAUUGUUACCUCAACCCCUUCGACCUAUGUCACCUUAAAGGAACGAGGUAGCUAGAACGCCACCAGACAUCUUCUGAUCUUGGAUUAAUUUCAUCAUUCAACACAUCCCUUAGUAACUUGAGUGUUAGAGCCCCUCGAAGGUAACACUGAUAGAAGGUCUACACCACGAAGCGAAGACCAUCUAGAUCAAAGUAAAGCCCAAAAGCACUAUAGAUCAGUUUUCAUCGUUCCCCAUCAAAUAAGUUAAACACUUCUCUAAGUGUUUGGUUAGACUUUGUCUGAUCAUCACAACAAAAACCAUGCUCCAUCUAAAGUUGUUAUUGAUCCUCCUAAAACACACGAAUUGGCAUCUACCGUAAACUUCGGUUUAUUUACUCAAUUAAAUGACUUUUUGUAGAAUAAAAAAUGAAUCAAUGAGGCUUUUGAUGCUUUUUGUACUCUCACCAUCCUUUUUUCCAAGUUAUGUUUUGGAUGCUAUAUUGUAAUCACAGUACAAAAGUAUAGAAAUAAAUCAUCAGAAUUAAUAUUCAUUCAACAAGCUAAUAGAAACAUGGAAGCAUCUCGCCAAUGAGUUAGCAUAAAUUAACUCUUGUUCUUCUAAAAGAAAAUAAAGCUAGAGAAAAGUAGCAUUGUCUCAUGAUCUCAUGCAAAGAUAGUUGUAAUGAGUGACAUGAUGAUGACAGUGACACCAAACACAGAUGAUAGAACAGAGUAAGCAGCAGAAGAAGGGGCAGGUGCAGCUUGUGCUUCAACAUUGAUCACAAACUUCAUUUGACGAGCAAUGCAGUGAUCAGCUUUUCCACAAAGGUACCAUUUUCUUCCUUCAGUUGUCAGUGGAAUGAUGUCCUUUCCAGUGGAGAGUGCUUCAUUUGCGGGUGGAAGGGUGCAGUCUUUGAAAGAUGCUCCACUCACUUUGAACACAUUGUGCUUCGCAUUGUCAUAAUUGAACACUACACAAAUAUGAAGUCAUACAAAACAAAGAUACAAAGAACAUCAACUGCACAAUAAAACAAGUAGGAGUAGUGAUUGUUCUGUUUUUGUUACAUACCAAGGUUGUCACCGACAUGGAAAACCUUGUCCUGAGUCCAUUGAGUGUAGUUGAAGUCCACAGUCCAGCCCUUGUCAUCACCCACAACAUGAUCAGUUGCCAUGGCAAUUGAGGAAACCAAAAUCAUUGAAAUGGCAAAGAAGGCUACGUGAGAAGAACCCAUUUGAUGAUUUGAACUGAUUGAUGAGAGUUAAUCUAAUUAACAUGGACUACUAGCUAGCAAGCAAGUGUUAUUGCUUAGAUGAAUUAAUGUUAACUCACACCAAUUUGCAUUUCAACAUUCAUCUAUAUGCAUACAUAUAGAACUUGUAAAUUGAUUUUAUCAAGACAAAUGGGCAUAGAAGCAUAGCAAGAUGAGGGGUAUCAGAUAAGGUCGGCUUUUUGAAAUAUAAUGAAUUUGCAGUUCUGCAGAUUUUUUAAUUAAACAAUUUUUUGACUUAGUCAUGAACUGGACUGCUGUAAUCAACUUGUAACUUGUAAGUACUCAUGGAUCGAAUAGAAUUAUACUCAUGAACCGGACUGUCGUUGCCAUGUGGAAAAUGUCAAAGUGAAAUAUGAAAAGUAUAGAUUUUUUACUGCCUCUAUCUGAUUCGCAGGCUUGCAAAAGUUCAUGAACAAAAUGUACAAACAACAUAAUUAUUUACCUUAUUAUAUUACGUAAUAUACUAUUAGUGAUUAAAUUAUCCGGAGUCCAUCUACCAUGCACUUAACCUUGGCCCAAAGGUCCAGCGGUUGUGGUUCACUUCGGCCCUCGGUUUGUAGUGGGAUCUAGGAGGUAAUAUUUCUAAGUUCUUGCGGGUGUUUUUGGAGGAGGCUGAUGUUGUUGUGGUUGGCCUAUUCGGGUCUAUCUUGUAUUGUGUUUGGGAAGCUAGGAAUGUUUGCUUGUUCCGUUGUGACCCGUCGACCCUUGGGUAUGUACUGACCCGAGUCCAGAUGUUGUUGCCCUCGGCGAUGAUGCAAGCUACAGUGGUUACCUCCACAGCUUCUCUUCCUUGCGUUUGGUCUCGACCUGAUGGGGAUAUUGUGAAGGUCAAUUUCGACACUUCACUCUCUUCUUCUCGGAUUGCAUGUCUAGGUUAUGUUGCACGUUAUGGUGAUGACUUGGUUUUGGCUUCGACGACCUCUUCCCUGUGGAGGCUUUGGGAUGAGCUCUUGUUUUGUCCACAGAGUUGAGUUUUCAUUUUGUUUGUCUUGAGACUUACUGUCUCCAACUUUUUUAGAGGUGGAUGCGAACAUCUUGGGGAGCAUUUUACCUUGACUCUAUUAUUGGCGAUUGUCGUUGUUUAGUUUGUGCGUCGUAGUGAUAAUGUUGACUCUCUUUUUCUUAAUAUAUGUCGUUUGUUUAAGAAAAAUAUUCAAAUUCUACCGUGUCAUCCAUAUAGAUUGAGGUAGUGAUUUAGCACUUCAUCUCUUAAACAAUUGGCUAUGGGUUUGAUUCUCAACUUUGUGAAUGGAAAAGAAAUCUUCGAUCAGUCUCUAUCACAUAGUGCGCUGACUCUGGGACAAAAGGGACUAGAGAUUAUUUGACGCCCACCGAUUAUGAAAUACCUUAGAUAAGGAAAAAAAUAAGAGUUUAGAUGCUCAAGGGGGAACUCUGGUGGUGGGGGAGAAGAUGAACAGCAACGACGAUGGGUAGGGUAUUGAAUUUUGAUUUUCUAAAACAAUGUAAAAAAAAUUACAUGAUAAUUAAUCUUAAAAAAGUCUGGGACUAAAAAUGAGAAUUUGUAAUAAGUAUCGGGAUUAAAAAUGAGAAGCAGAUUUUUUUUUAGUAAAAUUGAUGACCUGUUAAAAAAAUACACUACUCAUUUCUCAAAAUAAGUAAUGAUUCAUUCACACAUCACUUUAUUUUUUAUCUUUUUUUCACUCUUUUAUCUUUAUAUAUAUUUGAGUGAGCAUUCCUAUUGAUAACUUAUUUCUGAGUAUUUUAUCAUGGUGGAGGUGGAAAAGGGGUGUAAACAAAGUAACAAACUAUUAUUCUUUCUCUAUUGGACAUGUAAGAGAGGCAUUGUUGCACUUUCUCAGAAGGUGGCACCCUAGCUAGAAUUUGCCAAAAAAUAAUUCUGCCAUGCCGUCCUUAGCCACCUGUUACAAUGCAAAUCUGUAGCUGUACGUGGCGAACCUCGCCCUUAGGACAAGUCUAUAUAUAUUGGUAUUGAAUCUGCAUCAUAUGUCACAAAAACAGAACAAGAGCUAUAAUUAAUACUUCAUACAUUGAAUUAUCAAGCAUGGCUCUUUCUCGUGCCCUCAUCCUUGUUGCUCUCAUAGCUUCUAUCUUCUCGACCAUGGCUGUGGCAGAAGAUUUCAUAGUUGGUGAUCACAAUGGUUGGACAACUUGGUUUGAUUAUAAAACUUGGACUGCAAACAAGGUCUUUCGUGUUGGCGACACACUGAGUAAGCUCAUUCAAUUCAAUUCAAUUUCUACCUUGGUCAAUAAGUACUUAAACAUGUUUAAUUUGUCUAUGUGUAUAAAUUAAACUUUAAUUAACUUGAUUAAUUUGCAGCAUUCAAGUACUCUGCUUGGAAGGACAAUGUGAUCAGAGUGAAUGGAAGUGACUUCAUAAGCUGCUCUGUUCCAAAAACAGCACAAGUGUGGAAUAGUGGACAUGAUACAAUUUUGUUGACUAGCCCAGGGAGAAGAUGGUACAUUUCUGGUGCUGCUAAUCACUGCAAAUCUGGCCAAAAGCUGUUCAUAAAUGUGCUGCCACCACAAGGAACAUGGUGGUCUCCAACACCUUCCCCCUUUGCUUCACGUUCACCAUCACCAUCAUCAAAACCCAUUGAAAUAGUACUCACACCUGCACCUGCACCAUCAUCAAAACCCGUUGAAGUAGUACUCACACCUGCACCUGCACCUGCACCAUGGACUCCUACUGGAUGGAAGCCAAAGAAUCUGUUCAAAUUGUUUCAGUAAAAUUCAGUAGCUGUCUGGGAUUGGAUCUUAAUUAGUUGAUGUGUUCUGUUUCCAUGAGAGGUGUUAUUUUUCUAGUUACUAUAAUAAUUUUCCCUUUCACUUUUGUUUGUAUUAGUGAGUGCAUGUAUUGACAUUACUGAGAUAUUAUUUAUUUCAUAAAAGCCAUCACUUUGAUUGAUGGCAUUUGUAAGGUUUGCUAAUGAUAAAUUAUGAUUUAAUAAAGUUGUUGUAUUUCUUAGAUUGGGGUUGUAUUCAUUUUCGUGUCUAGUAAUAAAAUGAGAUUGGAUUAUUUAGGCUAAUCUUAUUUAUCAUUAGUCUUUGUCACCAUGAUUAAGGUCUAGGAAGAUAAAUGAAGGGCAUGUGGAGCAUGAUGGUAAACUGGGUAGUGAAUGUUUGUGUUUCGUGCAAAUGUAUAUUAUCACAUUAUGAUAAGUGUUUUUUCUAUUGUUGUGCAUGUAGACAAUUUCAGUAAACUAUAUUAUUUCCAACCUAAGAAGUGACUUUCAUCAUUUAAUUAAAAAUAUGUGAGAAAUUACCAACGACUUUGAUUAUCAGUGACAGUGAGGUACCUAUGGUUGAAACUGCCGUCAAUGCACUAGCAUUCAGAGUCAUCAGUAAUUUGUAGGUAGAAAUUCAGGACAAGCCCAAUAUCGAUAAAUUUUUUACCAUCGGUAAAAUGGCUUUACCAAAGAUUUAGGGUAGUUACCGAAAGGUUGUGGCUGUCAAUAGUAUGUGUUUUUCUUGUAGUGGUCAGAUGUUCAACCGUAUAGGCUGAGCUCAAAUACCGAUUCAAAUAACCAAAGUAACAUAAGAAUGAGGAUUGAACUGUUUUUAUGAAAAUCUCUUCAAAAGAUAGUUGAAGACCCUUGUUUAUAAAAAACACCAAGUAUGUGCUAUAAGAUAGAAUGUGCUUUGAUAUUGUGACACGUACUUAUAAGGUUCAACACAUGAAUGCGACAUUAGAAGUUCUAAAGCGGAAAUAAGUUGUAUAAUAAAUCAAAGUGAUCAUUUGUAAACUUAAUUCAGCUCUCAAUUCAAGUUAGCUCAACAAAAUAUAUCAAAUAUAAAUGGAUAGAAGAUCACAAAUGAUAUUUAUCGUGAUUCGACAAAUCACGUGAAUUAUGUUCAGUCUCAUAACUCAGUUUCAAAAAAAAAAUGUUCAGUCUCAUAACUCUUUUUGGGGAUUUUCCACUAACUUCUGACGAAUUAUAAGUACUGACACUGCCUCUUCAGACUAACACAAUAAUUUUAGCAGCCUCUUCAAACUAUCUCAAAUAUUUGGUUUUGUAGAUACAAACUUCUACAAGUUUUAAUCUAUCUCGAACUUGUCCAACUUAAUAAUUGAGGAUGGGUCGUAGAAGUUUAGCUUUGAGAAAGUUUUACAAAAUUCCUAUCUCAAAUGAUUGAGAAAUAAAUGUUAGGAAUACUCUGUAAUAAAUGAAAAGAAUGAUUCAACUAAGUGUUGAGAACAUUCUCACCUUCUACUCAAAAUGUGCAAUAAAUCAUGUUCAAAUCCUUACGCUCUUCAUUCUUCAUUUUCUUCUUAAAUGCCAUGAGAGUAAAAAAAAAUUAAAAAACUUAAAAUGCAUGACCUAUUAGCAUCAUGGCUCAGGUUGUACAAUGCUGGUAAAAUUUGGACUUCUAAAAACUUUGAAAAGUAUCCAAAAGAGUGUCAUUUCUUCUUUUAUGUCUUGGUAAAUUACUUGGAUCAUCGAAGCUUUUGUCUUAUUAAAGAAUGAUAUAGUAAAAAAACAAUAUUCAAGAAGGUCCCUCAAACCUAAAAAAAUGUAUGACAUCUAACAAACCAGACCAGACUUAAAUCUUAAAACCUUUAAAUAAGGCAGACCUAUUUAGACAAAGAUUAACUCGGUCAAGCCUAUUAUCACCCUACAUUCUACCCGCCAAACCUGUUGUCAUUUUCGUCCACAACUCCACAACAAUGCUGUUGAAAGUGGUGUUUACACAUUUUGUUCAUGAACUUUUGCAAGCCUGCGAAUCAACUGGAGGCAGAAACACGACAGUACUCCAGAGCUAAGGCAGGCCAUUGGAACAAAUUUACAUGUUUCCUAUAUUUCCCUUUGACACCUUCCAACAUGGAAUAUAUGUUGUAGAACUCGCCAUACUUAAAACAAAUGAAGCUUACUUGUUAGUACUUGAAAAUUGCACAAAAGUAUAUAGUAUUGUAAAAACUAAAAACAAUUUGUACUUAUAACAGUCCACUUCAAUGACUUAGUCAAAAGAAUUGUUCAAUUAAAAGAUCUGCAGUAGCCGACCUUAUCUCUCAUCUUGCUAUGUUUCCAUAUCCAUUUGUCUUGAUUAAAUCAAUUUACAAGUCCAAUAAAUAUGCUUAUAGAUGAAUGUUGAAAUGCAAAUUGAUCUAAGCAAUAAAACUUGCAAGCUAGUAGUCCUUGUUAAUUAGAUUAACUCUCAUCGAUCAGUUCAAAUCAAAUGGGUUCUUCUCACGUAGCCUUCUUUGCCAUUUCAAUGAUUUUGGUUUCCUCAAUUGCCAUAGCAACUGAUCAUAUGGUGGGUGAUGACAAGGGCUGGACUGUGGACUUCAACUACACUAAGUGGACUCAGGACAAGGUUUUCCAUGUUGGUGACAACCUUGGUAUGUAACUAAAACAGAACAAUCACUACUUCUAGCAACUUGUUUUAUUGUGCAGUAGUUGAAUUCAUGUUCUUAGUGUCUUUGUUUUGAAACAAUUAAUUUAUGAUUUAAUUAUAUUUGUGCAGUGUUCAAUUAUGACAAUGCGAAGCACAAUGUGUUCAAAGUGAGUGGUGCAUCUUUCAAAGAUUGCACCAUUCCACCAGCAAAUGAAGCACUCUCCACUGGAAAGGACAUCAUUCCACUGACAACUGAAGGAAGGAAAUGGUACAUUUGUGGGAAGGCUGAUCACUGCAUUGCUCGUCAAAUGAAGUUUGUGAUCAAUGUUGAAGCACAAGCUGCACCUGCUCCUUCUUCUACUGCUCACUCUGUGCUAUCAUCUGUCUUUGGGGUCAUCAUCAUGUCACUUACGGCUGCCAUCACAAUUAUCUUUGAAUGAGAGACAAUGCCAAUUUUCAAGCUUAAUUUGGUUUUAAAAACAAGAGUUUCCGCUAACUCAUUGGCGAGAUGUUGAUGUUGCCACAUUUUUUUAAGCUUGUUCAUGAAUUAUGAUGAUUUUAUUUUAGUUCGAUCUUAAUAUCACAUCUAAACUUUAAUUUAUACAGGAAAUAAUGAUACAAAAAGCAUGGCAUUGUUGCUAUAUGAGACUCUAUCUUCUUUUCUACUUGUCAUUGUAGCAUUACUCGUGCAUAAUCCAUUCAGUCAUAUCCCGUUUAGGGGCACGCCUCAAGUGGAAUACAUAGUCUGCUUUGUGCCUAUAUAAGAUAUAGAACCUGGUUUUACACUGCCUUCUUUUCCCUUGGCCUUCCACUAGCCACGUGUUGAGAAUUCAAGUGCGGAGUUGGAGUCCCACAUUGGUUAAGUUUGGGUGAGGAUAAGACUUUAUAAGGAGAUGGACCCAUAAACCUAAUGCCUCAAGGUUUUGGGUUAAAAUGUGGCGUCGAGAUCUCUUGGUGUCUUGCUCCUCGGCCCAUGGGCUCCCCUGUCUCCCCAACAAGUGGCAUCAGAGCCGAUGGUUGGUGUAGCCACAGUUACGGCUCCUUGUGUCGAAAGUCUUCCUAGCGGUGUGGCUAGGCGGCGGGUUCCGUUGAUGCGGUGAAGCGAACGGCGGUGCAAGAGUGGAUAAGCUUCCGCGGAGGGGGGCCAUGAUAAUGUGGGGCCAUGAUAAUGUGGAGGUGACUCGCACUUGAGGGGGAGAUUGUUGAGAAUUCAAGUGCGGAGUUGGAGUCUCACAUUGGUUAAGUUUGGGUGAGGAUAAGACUUUAUAAGGAGAUGGACCCAUAAACCUAAUGCCUUAAGGUUUUGGGUUAAGAUGUGGCGUCGAGAUCUCUUGGUGUCUUGCUCCUCGGCCCAUGGCUCCCCUGUCUCCCCAACAAGUGCCACAUUAGGCUUUGAUACCACUUGGGCCAAAGAAAGACUCAAACAGAGGAGAUGGUUAAAAUUGGGGGAUAAAACUCCACAUUGGGCUAUAAAGAGCAAACCAUAAGUGGAUCAGACACCACAUCUUUCACCCAAAACCUUAAGGCAAUGGGUGUAUGGGUCCUCACACUUAUAAACCACUCAAACUUAUCCUUAGCUUCCAAUGUGGGACUUACUCACACUUAAAAAUUCCCAACACCACGUUCAGUUGUUAGGAACCAUUUGAGUAGUCUCUUCCUUGGGGAGAGAAGAAGAACCACUCAAUAUCUGAUUGAAUGAAUGAUUUUGCUGCUUUUAAACAAGUGCCAACUAGUCAGUGUUUCACUUAUUGGCAUGUUUAAACAUGCAAAACAAUUUUAAGUAACAUUUUAUUUUCUAGCAAGAUUUCUUAGAAAAUGGAUGUCAAAGAGAAUGAAUUAUAUUGGACAACUACCGAAUUUGUAUUUAGAUCUAAGCACUUGUUACCAAAUUUGUAUUCAGGAUUCUUGUAUAUACCCUAACACACUUUCAUCAUAAAAGCCUUGUUUGCUAACCUGGUAACUAGGGGUGUACAAGGGACGGGUUGGGACGGGUUUUGGUUAACUCUAACCCGACCCUAAAUAUUGAUCGGGUCAAUUCAUAGACCCUAACCCGUCCCUAGACCCGAAGCAACCCGACAUUAUGCGGGUCCAAUUUAGGACGGGUCUAUGUAGGACGGGACCGGGUUGGCCCGAGGGACAAUAAGUUUAAGACUAUUUGAUACUAAUUGUAAAAUUUAAAGAUAAUAACAUACUAAAAGAGUUAUAAGUUGGAACUAUUUUUUAGAAGAAAUAACUUGAAAGAAUCCAAUUCUUUCAUAAUCUAUUGCACUUGAGAGGUUUACAUUUUGUUUGAUCAUUUCUUCACUUGUCCCACAUAUGCAUAAUACACACACAUGAUUUUCUCUUGUUUGAGCAUGAAAGUGUCAAUAGUUUGAGCAACGUUUAUUUAAUUCAUAAGGUAAAUGUUAAACAUUUUAAUUUCAUCUACAUGGAAGAUAAAUUUGAGCACCAUGUAUCACAUUUUAAUCAUUAUAACAAAUUAAAAUUUUAUAAAAUAUAUAUGUGGGACGGGCAGGGUGAUCCGAGUAUCAACCCGAACCCGACCCUACCCGAAGUCGGGUAACUCAAAUAUCAACCCGAACCCGGUCUCUUUUAAUAAUCGGGCCGGGUUCAACCCGGCCCUAAAGACUUGGGCCGGAACGGGUUGGCGGGUAGGGUCGGGUCUUGUACACCCCUACUGGUAACUCUAAUAAUACUCAGUCCACCUUUAAGAGUAGGAGAACACACCUUGUCUCAAGAUGAACCUUCCUACUAUUAGAGCUAUCACCCCACAGGAAAUCCCUGCUUUUCCUAUCAAUACUACUGCAGUCUGCAAAGGGAGAUAAAUAACAAAUUUGUUUGCAUGACAUAAGAAGGCAAGGCAGAGAGAACAGUCCUAAUGUGAUCUUAAUUUCACAUCUAAACUUUGAUUUGGAAAAAAAGGGGGUGCAAGAGAAAUCUAGCGAAAAAAGGACAAGAAUAUGUUGGGUCCAGCUAGACUUUAUAUAAACAAGUCUGACCAACUUAAAAAAAUUUAUGCCUAAACCGUCAGGUUGUUUUUCAAUCGGAUUUAGCCUGACAUUCAGGAAAGUAAGGUUUGCCAUGAUAUCAUAUAUAAAAGCAUGUUUCAUAAUAAGACUUUUACAUAUGCCAACAAUCUAUUUAUAAAGAGACUAGACUUACUUGCAAACGGGCUAAAUUAUAAUAAAUAAAUAUAUUUCUAUAAACAACUGAUCGAGGCCGUACCCGAUACAAAUAAUUAAUUAAGAAAACUGUAGUAACUAGGAAGUGACUCCUAGGUCGUUUCCCAAGGAUUAUGUUUCGACACCGAUUCAAUAUUAAAAACGCACAAACGCACACACACUCAAGGGGGUUUUGUGAUUCAGUUUCAAAGACUAGCAGAGAGUAAAAACAAAUUAAUAUAAUCAAGUAAAGACGGACGAAUCCCUUUGUUCAGUAUAUCGCUGCUCAAUCAUGGGUAUCUAAAGAUCAAUUCUUGUAAUUAGUUUCCUAGUUCGUGAGAAUUAAUUAACUAAGCGAUAACUAAUUCACAGAUUCCUAAACUAAGCGAUUAAGAACCGGUUACGACCUAACAUGACUAAGCGAACAUGUAUCAUCUUCUAUUUCUAAUCAUAAGGAAUUAAGCAAACCUAAGUCAGAAGUAGAGAUGAAGAAAACUAAUCAGGCGAAUUCUAUUAAGCACUAUACCUCAAGAGCACGAUAUACUUUGCAAAGGAGUUCGUUCGAAGGGAAUUAGCCUUCCAUGGAUGGGGCGAAUUCAGCAAUUAAAUUGGAGGAAGUAGAGAAAGCAUAAACCCUAGCAGAGCUCUAAUAACUACUGAAAAACGAAAUUAUAUUGAAUAAUAAGCAGAAGGUCUAAGGUAAUUGUUUCUCUAAGCACAAACCCUUAAAUAAGAGCUGAGAUCACAAAUCCUAAUCAAAAUCAAAUCCUAAAAGAUAACAAUAAAUCCUAAUAAAUCCUAAAGAUAGAGUUUUAAAAUAACAACCUAAAUAAGUUUGAAUCUUAAAGAUAACAAACUUAAUUUAUUCCGAAACUAAAUCCUAAUAUUUCCUAAAAUACAAUCUUCACUCCAGCACAAUUAAAUCUUCAUUCCGCAAUUCUCCAAAAUGCCCUUGAUGUCAAAUAAGACCUGAAAAUAAGAAUAAAUGUAAUUAGACCAAAUAAUAGAAAUCAUUGUCAAGCAAGGUCAAUUAAUUACGAAUAAUCAUUAAUAAUGACAAAUUAAGGCUAUGUAAAAUGGGUAAAAUAUUGCUCAUCAACAAGCUAGCUUGUAGAGAUAUGUGAAUAAGCUAGCUUGUUUAUAGAAAUUAAGAUCACAAACUAAAAGGUAGCAAGAUAAUAAACUAAAAAGUAGAGAUGUAAAUAUGCUGAUUAUGUAACUAAAAUACAAAAUAUAGCAAUAAAUGUGUAAAACAUAAUAUAAGAAAAAAAAAUUGUGCAAGGUAAAUUUUAAAAUGUAAUAAAGUUCAAAUUGAUUUUGAAAACAAAUCAUGAAUGUUUGGACCCAAAUUAUAGUCUUAGACAUAAAUAAAUUCAUGAAAUUUUAUGAACAACAAUAAAAAGGAAAAAAAUUGCACGUAUCUUGCACGUGAUAAAAUACUAGUUUUUUUUUCCAAAAAUAAAUACAUGUUAAUAUAAAUCUUAAACAAUAAGUAUACUUCAUGUCAAUAAAUUAUAAUACAUUUUAAAAACGUAUUGAUUCUUGCACCAAAAAAAAAUAAUCACUCAUUUCAAAUCAAACCUUAAAAUAAAUUUUAAAUUGAGAGUAAAAUCAUAUUGAAAAUUUCAAUUCCAAGCCAUAUUAGAAUCAAUCAAUAUAUAUUCAAUAUAUAUAUAUUAGAAAAGAACAACUUCUAGUAUGACGUGUCGCUCUCACAGGCCAAGUUAGUGACGUGUCGCUCCCAGAUUAAUUCUCACCUAAUAUUUUACAUGUAAGCUCUUUCUCCUUGGCCCCACUUGCCACAUGUGCCCUGAUUUUUCCUUACCUUAUUUCUCCUUAAUAAAAAAAUACAUUUUUAAAUUUUAGAUUUGAUUAGGAUUUAGGUUUUUUAUUUCUUGAUUUUAUCUUAAUUUAUUUUUGAUUUAUUUUUAGAGUAUUAAUUAAUUUUUAUGGUAUUUUUUAUUGAAUUUUCGGAUUUUAAAUUAAUUCUGGAUUUUAUGAGAUUUUAUUGUGAUUUGCUAGAUUUUGAUAGUUUUUAUCUAUUUUUAUUUAGUACAUUUUUAAAUUUUAGAUUUGAUUAGGAUUUAUGUUGUUUAUUUAUGUAUUUUAUCUUAAUUUAUAUUAUUAUUUAUUUUUAAGUAUUAAUUAUUUUUUAUGGUAUUUUUAUUGAAUUUUCGGAUUUUUAAUUAAUUCCGGAUUUUAUGAGUUUUUAUUGUGAUUUGCUAGAUUUUGAUAGUUUUUAUCUAUAUUUAUUUAGUAUAUUUAUUUAGUACAUUUUUAUCUAUAUUUUUUUUUAUUAGUUAUUCAAUUGUACGAAGUUCAAUCUAUGCAACAAGGGUUUUAAUUUAAGACUUUUUGUCCACUUUACUCAUCAUUUCAUACUCUUCUAUUCCAUCAGUUGUUUAUUAUAUUUUUAAUGAUCAAGGUAUUAAUUAACCUAUCAAAUAUAAUAGAUGUAUUCCCCGUGCAACGCGCGGGUAAAAAACACUAGUGAAUAUAAAUUUAAAUAAUUAAAAGUUGUUUUAGAAAAUUAAAUUUGUAAUAAAUUUAAUUAUUCUUAAAAUAUCAAAUAAAUUUAUUUAUAAAAUAUUUUUAUUUGAAAUUUCCAACAAAAUUAUUAUUUUAUCUCCCUUUUCAUUAUUGUUCAUAAGUUAUAAAGUUGUUUAUUUCAGAGACUAUUUCAAUCUAUAAUACAACCAUUAUUUGUUUUUAAUAUUAUUUUGAAAUUUAUUACCUUUUACCUUUUACCUUAAAGUAUAUUUUAUUUUUAUUCAUAAAAUAAGAAUAUAUUAACUGCACAAUUUUUAUUCUUAUGUUAAGUUUUAAAUUUUAUACUCUAUUUUAUAAUAUAUUCAUUUUCAUAUUUUUCCUUUUUAUUCUUGUUCAUAAAUUGUAUUUUUUGUUUUUUUUUUUGACAGCUUGUUCAUAAAUUGUAUUUAGUUCUUUACCUCUACAAGUAUUUCAUAACAACAACCAUGAUUGGCUUUUAAAAUGUUUAUAAUAUUACUAAUAAAAUUUGAAAAUCGAAGUUUUCUUUCAAUAAAAUUUGAAAAGCCAAAUACUUAUCUAGUAAAAGAUCUAAUGCUUUAAAUAUUAUUCCGUGAAGCAUUAUAUAUUAAAUGAAAAAUAUAUUUUAUAAAUUUCAUGUUAUUAAAUUAUUCAAUUUUCAUUUUAUUUUUCAUAAGUUUUUUAUUAAGUCCAUACUCCAUUAUUAUUCUAUAUUAAUUAUGUUUACUCUUUUAUAAUUAAAUCAUGUUUUUUAGUUUUAUGCUAUAUUUUGAAAUUUGUUCCAUUUAAGUUUCUACCUUUAUGUAUGUUUUUAUGUUAUUUUUAUUUUUAUUUAAACGACUAUUUCAAUCCACAACACAAUCAUGAUUUGUUUUCAAAAUUAUUACGUUUUUUACCUUUGGGUAUUUUUUUAUCUUCAUUCAUAAAAUAAUAAUAUAUUAAGUGGACAAUCUUAUUCUUAUAUUAUUUUUUUAAUAUAUGCUCUAUUUUAAAAAAGUUUCACAUUAAUUUUUUAUUUUUCAAUCUUUUUUUCAAAAAUUUCAUUAAUUUAUGUAUUACCUCUACAAGUAUUUGUUUUUUUUUUUUUGCUUCAUCGGAAAGUGCUCUACAAGUAUUUCAAAUCAUAACAACAACCAUGAUUGGUUUUUCAAUUUUUUAUAAUAUAGAAAUAUAUUUUGACAAUUGAAUUUUAAUUUGCUUUCUCUAAAUUAAGAAAAAGUCAAAAAAAUAUUGCUUGGAAUAGCAUUAUUUGAAACAAAUAGAUGACUUUGACUUUGUCUAAUUUAGAGAAAACAAAAAUUUUAAUAAAUCAAUAUUUGACUUUGUCUAGUUUAGAGAAAAGAAAUUUUAUUGUCAAAAUAUAUUGCUAUAUUUUAGAAAAUUUUAAAGCAAAUCAUGGCUUGUUAUAAACUUUUUUUUAGCGUAAACGAAAUUCAUUAUGAUAGUCGUAUAUGUAAACAAAUUUUUUUUAGUUACCAAAAGAAAAGUCGUAUAUGUGUAAAUAAAUUUAUGACUAAAGGAAAAAUUUGAAAAUAGAUAAAUUAUGAAAUAGAGAAUUACAUUUAAAACAUAACAUAAGAAUAAAUAUUGUGCACUUAAUAUAUUCCUAUUCGAGGAAUAAAAAAUAAAAACACACAUUAAGGGAAAAAUGAAAAAGUAAUAAAUUUGUGACUUUGUUGACUUUUUCUUAAAAUAGAGAAAGCAAAUUAAAAUUCAAAAAUAAAAAACAGAGGGAAAUAGCUAGCACUCUAUAUAAACCACCAUAUUCAUUUUCAGUCUUAGUUGCUUGCAUAUCUGACUUAUUUUUUGACGUCUCCCUUAAGGUUUUAGUUCAUACAUAGGAUCCUCUACUUUGAAACCAGUUAGUAAAAGAGUGGUGAAAGGUUUUCAAGGUUUUCAGGUAUAAUUCUAAAUUCUUCUCUCAUAUUUUCUAUUCCUUGUUUUUUUCAUUUAGAAUUUGAGUGACUUCAUGUCUUUUGCAAAAAAGAAAAUGUAUAUAUGUUUUAUUUUUCGAUGUAGGGCUCAAGUUCAACAUAUGGGAAUCAAAUUUUGCUUUUCACUAUUUUUGAGGAAAACAGAGGAAAAGAGUUAAGACUGCAAUUACAGGUACUUACUGUAUUAAAAUAGUCCUAAGUUUUUUUGUUAGCCUUUUUUAGAUGAAGGGAUAAAUAGGAUCGAUGAACUUGGUUUUUCAUUCAUUUCCCUCAAAUUUCUUUCAUUUCUUUUUCUACUCAAACAAACUAUUAUCAUGUUCAUUGAAAUUGUUCAUGUUUUAAGCUUUGAAAGUUAAAAUUAACAUAGAACUUGGAUGCUAUUAAAUAUUAAUUGCACUUUUGUCCAUUUUAUAAGGUAGCUAUUUUGUUUUUUUCAUAUCUUUUUGGAUAUGGUAAUUUUUCAAUAUUACAUAUGUGCUAGUGUUUCAAAUUACUUGUUUUGUGAUACAGAGAAUUUGUUUAUUUUAAUUAACUCCUCAUUAUUCAUUUUCUUAACUUUAUUCAUGAUAUUAUAUAUUAUGAUUAUUCUCAAAAGUUUUAAACAUCCAGGAACUACUGCCCAGAAUUCAAUUCUCAUUGUCUUCACCAUAUCGCUACCACAAUAUCUUUAAGCAUACUCAAGCUCUAGGGUUCUAUUUGACUGUUGCAUUUGAACUUUUACAUUCGAGCGUGUUUAUAGUAUUCAUCUAUGAUACAAAAAUGGAAGCUACGAAUCCACUAAAGCAAAAGAGGGCUGCUCGAUGUGUUGCACAUCUUAAGGAAGCUUCACAACCAGUGAUAUCUCAACAACCAUCAUUUGCAUCACUAACAACCAAUGUUGUCAAAAACAUGAGAUUAGAUGAUUAUGAAAGCAUAGGGACAAUUGUUGGUCCUUGUAGUGGACAAUCCUAUCUUAAGUAUUAUUCAAACUAUAAGAAGAGUGGAAGACCUAAUCAUGUAAUGUUCUACAAGAAUGGCGAAUGGUUGGACUAUCCUAAAGACAAUGCUGACUUGGUUAAGAAAGAUUAUGAAAUAAAAAAUGCACUAGUGAAGAUAAGACUUAGGGAUGGCAAUUUCCACCUGUAUAUGGGGAUCUCCGUGGGGACUGCCCCGUUUGGGGCCCCGAUCCUGGGGAAUUUUUCCCUGUGGGGGUGGGGAUGGGGACAAAAAUCCCCCCGAAACAAAUUUGGGGAUGGGGAUGGGGAUCACCCUCCCCGCCCCGCGGGGACCCCGCCCCGUAUAUAUAUAUGUAAAAAAUUGAUAAUACCUUUAGUAAUCAAAGUCAAGUAGGUAAUAAAAAAUAUAAAGUAUCAUAGCCAAUUAUAUAGAGUUCAAAAAAAUUAUAUAGGUAAUAAAUUUAUAUGUCAAUUUUCUUAUUUGUAGACUUAAUGUUAUGAAUUUUGAUCAAUGUUAUUUGAACUUCAAUAUACAUUUUCAUGGAAUUUGACAUGUUCUAUUCUCAUCCGUGGUUUCUAUACAUUUGUGGUCCAGGAAGAAAUUUGUGUAUUUUUUAUAUUUAAUUUAGUUUUAUUAUAUUUUUAAUGAUGUGUUAAUGGUCCCCAUGGGGACCCGUGGGGACCCGUGGAGAGGUGGGGAUUGGGGAUGGGGUGAAAAUUUACCCCGCCGUGGGGAAUGGGGAUGGGGACGGUGACAAAAGAGAGAUGCGGGGACGGGGAUGGGGGGGCAACUCCCCACCCCGCGCGGGUGCCAUCAGAUAAGGAUCUAUGAUAGAGAUCUUGUGCUAGAUUUUUUACACAUGUGUCAAGUGGACUUGAAAACUGGUUCCCAACAACCCAUUGCUUGGAUUGAUGAGGUCGGGUGCUGCUUUUUCCCUGAAGUCUGUUCUGCUUCGGAUGAAGAAUCUUAUAAUUUCUUUAAACAAGAGACCAUGAAACUACAUAUUGAAAUCGAAGUGAAUGGGGUUGAUGAGUCUAAGUUGAGGGAGAGUUUUGGGGAGUCCAAUUAUUUAAUUAAGGGUGCUCAAUUAAAAGUUGGAAAUAGGAUGAACAUAAUGAAAUAUGGAAAUGUUAGUGAAGACAUUGAACAAAACCAAGAGUUGGGUUUAGUUCCCUACACUGACUUUGUACAUGGAAAACUAGAUUUCAAUUUUGUACGAGAGUUGUUCCUAAAUGGAAUGGGUAGUUUUGGCAAUAUUGAUUUUGAGAUAGUUCAGAUAUAUGGCUGCUCAGGGGCAUCAAUGCAAGCUAGGUUGCAACUAUUCCAGAAACAAGCUGAAAUUACAAAAGAAUUUCAUGGGGAUGCUAAUGUUCGGUAUGCUUGGCUUCCUUCUUCUAAAGGAGAUUUAUCUAUAAUGAUGGAGUAUGGAGUAGGGCAUUGUGGACUAUCUACAAACAAAUGCACAUAUAAUGUUGGUGUUCAUCUUGCAGCUGUUACCUGCCCUUAUGCUAGGUUGGUUUUCAUAUGAUAAACUUUGAAAAGUGAUAUCUUUUACGUACUAAUAAUAACAUUUAAUUUUUUUAUAUUUACAGUGCGCGUUAUUGUGAUAUUGAUGAAAAUUGUGUUCAAUACUUGGUCCUUUGUCGUGUAAUAAUGGGGAACAUGGAACUUCUCCAUCCUGUCUUUAGCACCAACACUGACCAAUUCCAACCCAGCAACUGUGAAUAUGAUAAUGGGGUGGAUGACAUCCAAUGCCCAAGAUACUAUAUAGUAUGGAAUAUGAAUAUAAACACUCACAUUCAUUCGGACUUUGUUGUUAGUUUCAAGGUCAUUGGGGAUGUUAAAGGUAAUAUACAUUGUUGUUUUAGUUUUUUUAUUUGUUUGAUAUUAACAUAUGUCAUUGACAUACAUAUGUUUUCCUAACAAAAAUAAGUUGUACAUUUCAUGCUUAUCCCAAAAAAAAAAAAAAAAAAGUUGUAUAUUUCAUAUUAUAUCUAAGGCUAAAAAGCACUUUUGGCCCCUGAUGUUUCAACUUUGUGCAAAUUCUGCCCCUACUCUAUUUUUGUCGAUGUUUCUACCCCUCAUGUUUUCAAACAGUGCAUUGUCUACCCCUCAUGUUUUCAAACAGUGCACCGUCUACCCCUGACGGAGGGGUAGACGGUGCACUGUUUGAAAACAUGAGGGGUAGAAGCAUCAACAAAAAUAGAUAGGGGCAGAACUUGCACAAACUUGAAACAUCAGGGGCCAAAAAUGCUUUUUAGCCUAUAUCUAAUUAGUACUCAAUGGGUUGAUCAAAGGCAAAAUAAUUGAUAUAUAUAUAUAUAUUAUUUCCUUUUGGACGAAAAACAUUCUAAUUAAUAAUUUUCGUAUUGGAAAGUAAGGCUUCAUCCAUAAUUUUUUAAUUAUCUGAUUGUGCUUAUAUUAUUUAACAUAUUGAUCUCUCCAUUAUGGUUCAACGAAAUAACCAUCCAUUUUUACUGCUAAGAUAAAUGGUAAUACAUGAUGCUUUUUUACAGGCCAUUUUUGUGGAAUUGCGGGCGAGGAUUAUGUUUAUGGGAACAAUUCAGCUAUUCAUGGUUCUGGUGACCUAUUAGAGUCAUCCUCUUUAGCGGAUAAUGUAUGUUACUUGAUAUGAAUUUUUUAUUUGAAGUUGUUCCAUGGUUUCUAUGUGAAAGCCAAUUUUAAUAGCAAUUUUUUAAAAGUUGUUUUCAUCUAAGAAUUUCACCUCUUCACCUUGUAUUUUAAAUAUCAUUUCUAUAGUUUUAGUUUCUCUUGAUGAUAAAGAUGAUGUGGUUGUUCUAUUGUUAAGAAAAUCAAAAGUGGUUAGCCCGAUAUACCUUUAUUUUGUGGAAGAGUUUUUGUGUGGAACCAGCAAAUUGUUGUCAAUUGGGUACCUCUUUAAGUCAUCAUUGUUUUAUAAACUCAUUUUUUUAGUCUAGUGUUAUGUGUUAGGUUGGUUUCUUGAUAAAUAUAUUCAUGUAUUCAUGUACAACUAGCAGGAGCUUUGUGAUUUUUAGAUUCACCUUCUAGUUUUAAAUCCUAUAAUGUUCUUCUUUAAUGCUCAUAUGAAUAACUUUUUUUACUGUGAGAUCUCAGGGAAUAGCUAUUAGUGGAGUUGCAAGCACUCCAAAAAUUCCGAAAUCUCCUUGGUUGCCUUUUCCUAUCCUUAUAUCUGCUAUCUGUGACAUGGUUCCUCCCAGUAAUAUGAAUCUUAUCAAAACACAUUAUGAACUAUACAAGGUAUGUAUAGUAACUCUAAUUUGUGAUCGAUGAAUGAAUGCCUCCAUUGAUGAAAUGUCUCUAAUAUAUCAUGUCAUUCUCGUUCAGGCAAAACACAUUUCCCGUGAUGAUUUUGUGAAGGAGCUGAGGUUGAUAGUUGGAGAUAAUCUAUUGAAAUCUACAAUAACAAGUCUUCAAUUCCGGGUACAUUUUUUAUAAAAAAAUUAUUUGAUUUUGAACUAUUGUGCUUCUGCAUAUUGUCUUCGGUUAUGGUUAUGUCUUCCGUGGGAAUUACUUGUUACAUAUAAUAUAGUAGACUAUAAUUUGCAUUUCUUUAAGAAAUAAAGUGUGAAAUCUCGUGUGCUGUCUUCUGUUAUGUGUAUGUCUCUUAAAUAUCAAAAUGGUUGCUUGUAGAUACCCAUCAAAUGGUGAAUUGGAAGACUUAAACAAGAAUGAAGGUUGAAGAUGACUGUUUAUGAGGAGAUGAAGAACUUUGCACUAGGAGUUUACUAUUGUCAACUUUUGAUUGUUGAUGACUGUUUAUGAGGAGAUGAAGAACUUUGCACUAGGAGUUUACUAUUGUCAACUUUUGUUUAACAAUCAAAAUAAAGUUGUGAUAUAUAUGCUCCUAGGAAAGCUAUUUUUUCACUACCCUUUAUCUAUUAUUUCUACCCGGAACUGUGACACAUAAAAGAAGUUCAUGGAAUAUUUGCUAUUGCUUUUUUUUUUCUCUUUCAAAUGAGAGCUUUCAUACUGAAUUUGCAUGCUGGCUGUUAAUAAGUAAAAUACUUGAUAAUUAAGAUUAAAUAUUAAAAUAACCAAAAUAUCCUUUGUAACCCUAUUUUUAACUCUGAAAAUUGAAGUAUACAUUAAGCCAGUAAGAAAUGAAAAUUGUAUUCACGUUUCCUUCUCCCUCACAUCUGUGCGCGCCAAGGACUCCUCUGCUUUUAAUUUUUUGCUGUGCCUCAUGCAAGUAUCAGUUCCAAAUCAAUUGACACAAUUUGUCGAAAUUUACCAAUUCCAAUUAUUACAAUUGCAUUCAUAAGCUUAUGGUUCUCUGUCUGUAAAAAAAAAAGUGCAAGAAAAAAGUAACGUUGCAGGUACCAGAUCUUAGCUAAGAAUACAAAGAAGAUAAUGGAUAAACAAUACACAUGUAAUAUGACAGAGGGGAAUAAAAAUUAUCAAGCAGGGUCGGUCCCGACAUUUUGGAGGUCCUAGGCAAAUAAUAAAAAUAGACCCCUAAUAAUUUUAACGUUCGAAAUUUCAUCAGAACCAUUAUGUUGGUUCAUUUGGCAACUGGCCUCUUGCAGCCCGUCAGGGGUCGCGUGUUCGAAUCCAAGCAACGCGUAACAUACACAGUUAGUAACCACUAACUCAAGUCAUUAAUAACAUCUUGAACAUUAAUUAUUAUAACUAAAUUUUAUUUUAGGGGAAAGUUUAAUGAUAAUUUUUUUUUUGCCCCUUAUUUUUGGAGGCCCUGGGCUGUGGGCCUGCUUGCACAGGCCCAGGGCCGGCCCCGCUAUCAAGUAUCGACCACCAACAACGGAGGAGGUCUACACUCUGUUUGGUAGAGAAGAGAGAGAUAGAGAAAAGAGAGUAGAGAAGAGAGAAGUUGAGUAGAGAGAAAUAAGUGAGAAAUAGAGUAGAUUUAAAGAGAAGAGAGAGACCCCAAACAUAGUGUAAAUCAAGCCUUCACUCAUCUCUCUUCAAUCUCUCUUCAAUUUGGAGAGACCAAAAAAGUGGUGGGACCUCCCCUCUAUCUCCCUCCUCUCACCUACCAAACACAUAUACUUCCUCCUAACUCUCUCUUCUCCAUCUCUCUCUAUCCAAACCUCCCUCUACCAAAUAGUGGUAGGGUGAGGGAGAAAGAACUUGAGGCUUGGGAUUUUUCAUUAAUUAAACCCUAUUUGAUUUCAACCUUUAGAUUGAUCUCACAGUUGAGAUUAAUUUUCAAAAUGUAAUUAGCAUAUUUUCAGUACUAUAAUUUUUUGAACCAUAAGAUACAUCUAAUGGUCAAGAUUGCUGCAUGAGGGGCUGGACAAAAAACAUUGUUGUCAAGGAGCGAGCCCUAACUCUCUUCCUCUCCGCUGCCACCGUCGAUUCGUCUCGCAUACCCACCGCCACUAAACCGCUUCUCUUCGUUGCUUCUUCAGCUUUAGAUUCCCUGUUCCAGUUGCACUCUCUCGUUUGAUCCUUACUGCUUCUCUCUGUGAACCUUGGAUUGGAAACAUGGGUAAUCCUCAUUCUUCGGAAAUUUUUUUUUUUUUUUUGAGUUUUGAGUUUUGCAUUGAAUCUUAACAGACUUCAACUUUUUUGUUUCUCCUGUUUUCAGAGGAACAAGCUGCUGGGAAAUCACGCCGAGAGCGAAGGAAAGAGUCCCGCUUGGCGAAAAAUGCAUCAAAGCACCAAUCUUGGCUCAACCACCAGGUAAUCUUAGGCCCCGUUUGGGAAAACAGCUUAAGUCCAUAAGCACUUAUGACAUCAACGCUUAUUCAUAAGCUAUUUUAAAAAAAAUUAUUAAAUUAAAUUGAAAAUAAGCUGUAUAUAAGCAUAAGCUCGUUUUCAUAAGCUAUCCUGAGUAGCUUAUGAAAAUAAGCUCAAACUUUUUACAUAAGCUCUCCCAAACACUUGCACAAGCACUCAUUUUUUUUUAGCUUUGUUCUCUCAUCAAAGUAAUGACAAAAAAAUUGAUUUUUUUUUUGUUUUAUAGAAAUCUAGAGCUGCUAUUAAAGGAGGAAACCAUGAUUCAGAGUUAAAAACUAAAAGUGAAUUAGACCGGUCAGUUAGUCCAAAUCCCCAUGAAAAGCAAGUUGUGAAGUUGGAGUCUUUUUCUGGGAAACAUGAGGCUGCUAAAGAAUACAAUGUGCCAGAGGAAAUUUGUGGCUCUGUACCGAAGAAAAUGAGCUAGGAUGCUCAAAGAAGUUUAAGGAAGAAGAGGGCUAAGUUGAGUGUGAUGGAUGUUUCUGUAGAUGACAAUAAGGAUAUAGAAUUGGAAAGAAAACUUUCCAAGAAGCUCAAGGUGAAGGAAGGAAAAUUGAGAGGGAUGGAUGACGGGCUGAAUGUGUUACUUGAAGGAAUGUCGUCGUUUGCUGAUUUAAUGGGAGAAGGGGAGGAUUCUGGUACCGAUGAAUUACCUGUGAAGCGGUUGAAGAAGAAGAGCUUGUCGAGUAAGAAGCAUAAGUUGUCAAAGGAAAAGGUUGAAGCACAAUUAUUAGAUGGUGCAUCAGGGCCUGUAAACUUAUAAUCAAGACGUAGCAUCAGAAGUUCCUGACAGUGUACCUUCGAGGAAGAACCAUAAGAAAAGAAAAUCUCCAGAUGAACUGCUGGAAGAUGGCGUCGAGCAUGGUGCUGGUGACAUGUCCAAGCCUCCAGAAUCCUGUGGGACGGAGGUGACAUCACAGGUUGCUCCUGCUGAAGUUCUGGUGAAGAAAGCCAAAGAAAAAUAUAUAGCACCUCACUUGAGAGCUCGCGCUGGCAAUAAACCUGAAGAGCAUACUCAAAUUCGAAGACGUGUGCGCGGUAAGGAGCACUGGAGCAGCGACUUUGUUUUGACUUCACAUAUUUAACUGCGUUCCAUUAAUAGUUUUUCUUCCAAAUUGUUUCUGCAGGCCUUCUUAACAGGCUUUCUGAAUCUAAUGUUGAAUCAAUUACUGGAGAAUUGUCCUUGAUCUUUCAGGUAUGCAACUCCUAUAAUUGUGUGACAAUUGACCAAUAUGGAUUCUUGACUGAUUUUGUGUUAUCUAACAUAUAUUAUCUCCUUUUGAAAUGGAUAAAGAAGAGGUGACAAAGAUAAUGUAAAUGACUAUAUGGAGUCUUGCACAUUUUUUUUUCAUUCCUAUUAACUUUGUAUUUAACUUUUAGUCCAACUACUUGACUUGUGGGCUUGAGACAUUUAUUUACCAACUUUCUUGAUAGAUGCCUAUGUUGGUGAAGCAGACAUUUCUCUGCCAACUUUUUGAUAUAUGCCUAUGUUUGUGAAGCUUUACUUUUGAGGAGUUCUAGUAACACUCACUUCAACACUCUUUUAUUUGUUGAAAUUCAUUAAAUUGGAAGUGGGACCCAUAUUUUUAGUGGGCCCACAUGAAUUUCAACCAAUAAAAGAUUGAGUGUUGGAAAGAGAGUGUUAACAUGAGUGUUGGUAGCAUUAUUCUUUACUUUUUGUAGACUAGUUGCUUCUGUUAAACAAAAACAGUUUGUUUCUUUUGGAAUUAUAACAGCAACUUCUAAGAUGUAAUCUCUAUGCAGUCUGUUGCUCGUAGUGUUGCAUCUCGGAUUACGAUUGAAGAGAUUUUAGCAUCAUGUUAUAGUGGCCCCCGUGGCAAUGAACAGUAAGUUUCUUUUCCUUCCUAUUUUACUCCUACCUUCCUCUGUGAAGUUGCUAAGUUUGCUUAGCAUCAUUGUGGUGGUAUGGGAAGGUCAGAAAAUAAAUAAAGAUUCAAAAACAACAGCCAAGCCUUAACAAAUAACAAUGAUGACCAAGCCAGAACACUAAUAAAGAUAAUCAAUCAAUUUUAGUUGUAGUCUCAAAUAGUAAAUGGUUAAGCCAUUAAAAGUUGAUUGUAUAGUGAUUUCUAGUUUAGUUAUAAACUAAAUACUUAGAUGCAGAUUGCCGGAGGAGUUAAAUUUCACAAGAAUGAAAACAUAGGAAAAGCAAGAUGUUCAGAACAUUCUUUGUCAAAACGAAAAGGGAAUGGUUUAAUAAAACUUAUCUGAGAAAAUAUGUAUUUAAUAUGAUUGAAUGGCUAAAGAUAUUGUUAUGCAGGAUUCUAUUUAGUUUAGAAUAACUAAUCUUGAGUGUGAGUGUUAUUGUUCCUUUUGUGAAGUCUAGAGAUUCAGAGUAUUGCUUGUCCUGGGAUAUUUCAUAUUCUCUCUCUGAAAUAACUCUGAGUAUUGUGUGUUGUCCCCAAUACCAACUCCUGUGAAUUAUUCUGGUGUCCAUCUUUCUGGCCUUUUUACGUAGUGUUCAUGGGAACUGAUAAUUUUUUUCUUGUGAAGGUAUGCUGCUGUGUUUGCUGCAUUUGUUGCAGGAAUGGCCUGUUUGGUUGGUAUUGACUUCAGUGCAAAGUUUAUGGCUUCCUUUGCUAAAUGCUUUGAGGUAUAGCUUGUGAACAAAUAAACUAAAGUCUAGUUUAUCGAAGUGUUUUUUAUUUGUUUCCUUUUUCAGUUUUAGUUUCUUCUCCAGAUAAGCAUUUGCUCUCAAGGCAGUGUUUGAAGACUACAGAAAUUAUAAUCUUCAUAUGUUUUUGACACAGGAUGAGUACCAUAAAGAAGACAAUCUCUCUUUGCGGAAUCUUACUCUUCUCCUAUCCUAUCUAUGUAUAUUUGGAGUCUGUUCUAGGUGGGUAUAGCGUAAUGCACAGAGCACUUGUAUAACAACUUUUUAAAGUGCUUUUUAAAAUAAUACCUCUUUUUAAUGCUUUUCAGUGAUUUAAUAUAUGACUUUCUAAUAAUGCUGAGCAAGCGGUUAGCUGAGAUGGAUGUUUCUAUCAUUUUGGCGGUGUUACAAUGUAAGUAUUUUGUCUUUUUAAUUAUGUGUUUGGUUUUAUUCAGUUCUAAUUAGAGCUUCCACUGGUGUAAAUUGUAAAGGUUGUUAGAAAUAUAAUAUAAAAUGUUCAUGUCUUCACCCAAAGUAUUCUGUCUUUUUCUACUUCGUUGAUCUCAUGUGCAUUUUGUUUUGUUGGGUUUGGAUGGGGCAACUUUGACAUUAAGGAGCUGAAUGUUUAAAUUUCUACUUUUUAAGGUGACUGUUAAGGGGGGGAGUCUUGUUAGGAGUCCCCACUAUUAGUUAACUACUUAGAGUUAGUUAGUAAGUGAGAGGAAUACGAGGAUAUAAAUGAUGUGAGGGGAAGGGAGGUGCAAAGCUUCUUCAGAGUUCUGUUCUGUAAAUUAAGAGGUUUUUCCUUACUCUUUUCAAUAAAAUGCCAGGUUCCUUUAUGAAUGCAUUAGAUAGAUUAGAAUGUAAGGGUAAUAUCUACUGAGGAAAAGCUUUAGGAUCUGGCCUAACAGCAUGCUUCAGCUAGAAGCUAUUCCACCAGCCUAAACACUAACUUAGUUCAGUCUGCUAUGGGAGCUGUCAUAUCAAUCUUAAGUUCUUAACAAUGCAAAAAACUAACUAAAGAAGCAAUUAUUAACUGAAGCAAACUAAUAAACUUUAAGAUGAAGUGUGCCGAGUAAACAUCUCUCACUCCCGUAUUUAGUUAGACCUUUGUUUAUGUCUUAGUUCUCAAAACUUGCUUAUAAGAGCUUUAGUAUGAAUAUCUGCCGUUUUUCAUGUGUUGGAACAUGAGAAUCACUGGUUCGUUUGUUUCAGCCUGUUCUUAGAAAAUCAUUUUUUUUCAACUUUUCACUUGUUUGUUUUAGGUUUUAAAAAUAUUCAUUAUUCCAAAAAAGCUGAAAUAAGAUUAUUUGAAAAAGCUACUUUCACUAGCUUAUCAAGCAGAGCUAUUGCGAUAAAUGAGACAGAAAAUAAAAAUUGAAGUAAAAUGUUUCUUAUUAGUAACCAAACACAAAUAAGCUUGUUUUUCAUAAAAAACUCUUUUUUAAGACAGCUAAAAAUCAUUUUUUAAUAAUCUUAAACAAGCGCACUCAUACUAUAAACGUGAAGUCUCAAAAAGGGCAAUCUUGUAAAAUAACACUUAACACACUUUUACUAGAAGGAAAAAUAUCUAUGAACAUACUUUUUCUGAACACUUUUUAAUGUUUGAAUUUUGAAACCACACUCUUAACAGAAAAAUAAACAAAUAGGAUAGCACAUGUUAGGAUGCAUGUUAACACACUUUGUUCUAGUGGAAAUGGAAAAAGGAAGAAAAACAAAGAGGCCCUUAGUGACUUAGCUUCUCUUGGACAAAAAAAACAUCCAACUCCAUGUGUUCAGUUCUAGCAUGCAUAACCGGAUCAUGACACAAAGCAAAAAUGCUUUGCUUUGUCAAAAAAAUGGACGGAGUGGGUACAAUGCAGUGACCUACCUAGCCAGGUCUGGAUCCAGAUGAUAUCAGCAGCUGAAAGGGCGAGAUUAUAUAUAACUCUUCUGCUUUUAUCACUAUUUUGCCAUUGCUGUGUGAACAGAUAAUUCCAUGUAAUUACAGUACCAUGGCUGUAUUUCGCUAAAUAAUUAGCCAAAGUAUUGAACCUUCCUGAUAGACUCAAAUCAGUAACAGUGGAAAAACUGAAGAAAGCAAAGAGAAAUUAUGAAAAUUAAUUAUUGGAUUAACUAAGAAAAAAAGAGAACAAAACUCAGGGUAUUCGAGAGACCCUGAACUCUCCUCAAGUCUAGUCCAAUCCUUUCCUGUUCUCUCACUCUCCCUCUCCCUCAUAAUAUAAUUUCCCUGCCCCCGUGUCAUGAGUGUAUGCGCAACACAUUACAAUUUAGUUAUAGGGCUAUAACGGCUAUGUUCCUGUGCAUUGCGCCUAUUCUUCUUAGUAUACACCCUUUUAAUAACUGGGCCUCUAUCACAUCCUUUGACUUUUUAUUGUAUUUGUCUUGAUAGGUUGUGGGAUGAAAAUAAGGGCUGAUGAUCCAACUUCCAUGAAAAAUUUCAUUCUUAGUGUUCAGAAUACGUCAAAUAAGUUGAAGCCUUCCUCUGGAGAUGACCAUGAAAAGAAAUACAGUAAAAGAGUGAGCAUGCUAUGUUUAUUUAUCAGAAAACUGUAGUUUUUCUGCACAUACAUAAUACAGCACUAAUUACUUGGUAACACUUGUAGAUGGAGUUCAUGCUUGAAACCAUAUGUGACAUCAAGAACAACAAGAGCAGGGCAAAAGAGGACCCUGCACAUCAUACUCGGAUUAAGAAGUGGUUACAGAAGGUACCAAUAUUUUACGGCUUUUUUGUUCUUGAAGUUCCUUUCUGCGAAGAUAUUACUUGUUAUUGUUCAAUUACAGCUUAUUUUCAAAAGAAAAUGGAUUCCUUAAUUGAACAAAAAAAAAUUGUGUAGUUGGUACUUAGCUAGUUUGCCAACUUUCUUAUGAUAGGUUUUAAUAUUGGCAUUUCCCACAUUGAUAAGUGUGCUGUUUUGUGUAGUUAAACAAGACGAUCAGCUCAGAAAUGAUGUUCCUACAUGAUUGAUCAUCCUUGUUUUAUAAGACCCAAUUAUGCAUUUUAUUUUAUGGAAUUAUUCGAACAUAUAUAAUUGAAGUUCUGAGCUUUCUUUCUAUGGCUCUAGGAUUUUGUUGAAGCUCAUUGCUUAUUGAGAGACAAGGCAAUGAGUUUAAUUCUUAUGAUGUGGGUAAUUUUAAAACAGACGAUUUUGAAUAACUUUCAAGGGUGUUGGUUUUUUCUUGACAAAAUCAUCCUCUUUUUUUAAAGAUGUUCUUAUUUACUAAUUUUGUUGGAUUUCCUCUGCCUAGCAGCUCUGAUAUUGCUUUAUGAAUAUUCUAGUUGUUAUGUCUUUUGUCCGUUUACUUAGCACAUUUAUUAUUGAAAAGGCAAUUCAUCUUCAGGAUUGCUUUGAUUUUCUCUGUUAUUCAAAAGGCAUUCAUAUGCCCCUCAAAUUCUUAAUUUAAAUUUUGUUUCCAGAUAAGAGCUGUUGACAUUAUGAUUAGAGGGCUCAAAUGGAGCAAGUUGCUUGAUCCUGAUAAGAAGGGCCAAUGGUGGUUGUCUGGAGAUGUAGCUUCUGCAGCCGAUAAUGUUGAAGAAGUUGCUGGCAGAAUAGACAAAGAUGUUCUUGAAACACAAAGAAUGCUGGAGCUUGCUGCUGCUCAAAAGAUGAACACUGAUGCCAGAAGGGCAAUCUUUUGUAUUAUAAUGAGCGGGGAGGACUAUCUUGAUGCAUUUGAGAAGCUUCUAAGAUUGGAAUUACCAGGCAAGCAGGUCAGCCUCUUUUCCAGUUUAAUAAUGUCUUCUUCCAAUUAUGAGGCCUUCCAUCUCGUGAUAUAUUUUUCCUUCAUGUGCUACAGGACAGAGAUAUAAUGAGGGUUUGUGGAGUGUUGCUUGCAAGAGAAAGUUUUUAACAAGUAUUAUACAGUGCUGGCUGUGAAGUUGUGCGAGCAUGACAAAAAUCAUAAGUUCACUCUGCAGGUAAUGUUUUCUCACUCCUUGUUGUGGGAUUGAGAUGAGUAAUUUGUCAUUUGAAGUCGGUUUGGGUAAUAUUCACCUUAUGAGUCAAAUUAGUUACAUUUUUGUUACUUAUAUUGAGGGAAAAUAUGACAAGAGGACUUAUUAUUAGAAAUAUGAUGCAUGAUAACUAUUGAAUUGUAAGUUUAUAAUUACAUCUUAAGCAAGUGCUUGCACGUCCAAUGUUCCAAAAGGAAAGAUAGGAGGGAAGAAACUUCUAAAUAAAAAUUGUGACAUUGCACCCUUAGAAUUCAGGUUAGACCUAACUCUAUCCAAAAAGCUAGCUUAGAGGUGAGGGUUGCUCCACCCUUUAUAAGGACUUAUUUGGCCAUAUCUCUAGUCGAUGUGAGAUUUCUCAACACCUCCAAAUUGUAUAUGGAUAUAUUGGCUUUUCAACUACUGGAGCAUGUUCUCAUGUCCUAUUAUUUCUUUACAAUCCUUGCUUUGAAAGGGGAACUUGGUUCGCAGGUUUUUAGAAUAUUAAUUUUGUUUGUGCCUUUUGAUUUGCAGUUUUGCCUGUGGGACCACUUUUUAAGCGGCUGGAAUCAAUGCCACUUCUGAGGUCAAUGCACCUUGCAAAGUUCGUGGCCGAAAUGGUUUCCUCUUUCACUCUCUCCCUUGCAGCUUUGAAGACUGUGGAUCUGAGUGAUAUCAGCCUGUUAACACCAAAAAGGAUUAUGCAUUUCCGCAUACUGUUUGAGGCCAUUUUUGAGUAUCCUGAGAGCUUGGUAUGGAAUAUAUUCACUCGUGCAGCUGUGACCCCUGAACUUGAAGGUCUUCGUCAAGGCAUUGAGUUUUUCAUUAAGGAGUACAUUGUGAAAACUAAUAAAGCUCUAACUCAAAAAUUUAAGUUGGCAAGAAGAGCUCUUAAUAAUAUGGAAGGGAUUCUGAUGUGAGUGUGAAUUUUAAAUAACACCCAAUUUUGUAGCUUAUAGCAGUGUCAAUUUAUUUAAAUCAUUCUUCUGGAUAUCCUUUUGAAUCAGCAUUGUGUUCAAAUAGUGAUAGUCAAAUAUGCAUAGCAGCAAGAAUAUGUAAUAUUACUUCGGUAAAGGCCUUAAUUUUAUAAAGCUGAGGUAAAUGCAUUGGUGAUGUUUCUACUUUCUAGUCAGAAGUUUUGAGCAGAACAUUUUAAAAAUUGAGUGAAAAUUGCAUUGAUGAGUUGCACUUUUUAAGUACUUUAAAUGGAAAAUGAAGAGCAUCAUACAAUGCAACCGGUUUCAUAUAUGAAAGUUUUUUUUUUUGAAAUGAGUUUCAUAUAUGAAAGUAGAGUUGAAAGUUAGUCGUUUAAAAUUUUUGGCGAUUGGUGUUGCAGUCUUGUACAGAACCAAACUAUCCACUUCCUUUCAUUUUCUUGGUACCUAAUAAUAAUUAUAAGGCUCCCUGUUCAUAUUUUGUCAAUUGUUGAAAUAGGUAUGUAACCAAAAAAAGAAUUAUUGAAAUAGGUUAGAAUACUUAACCAUAUAACUAAUGAGGGUCAUACAUGUCAUGAGGCACCAUUUUAAUAAAAGGAAGUUUCUAGAACAUGGAAAUGAAUAACUAACACGAAAUAUAACUAAAUAUAGUAAACUUUAAUAUCUGGCCCAGUAACAUGUGAGGCCCAUUAAAAGUUCAGCUAUUAACCAUCUCAAACUUCAUCUAAAAAAAAGCUUCAUCUAAAUUAAGUGAUUAGCAAAUACAACUUAGGAAAACAAGGUUUAAUCAUUUUUUUUAAGGUGACCCCUAAUGUGGACCACUUUUAAAGUGGUCUAAUUUUAGACCACUUUUUUUAACCUGCUAUAACAGGUCAACACAUCUUUUUUUAAAGAAAUUUAAUAUAUGACAAAUUUUUAUUGAUAUUUUUUCUUAAAAAAAAUAAUGUGUUGAUCUGCUAUACCCGGUCAAAGUAGGUGGUGUAAAAUUACACCACCUAAAAAUGGUGCAUAUUAGGUUCUCCUUUUUUUAAAUUCAUUAGAAACUAUAAGCUUCAUUUAACAGAGCUUACAUUUCAUAUUAAAUUUCAAACUCUAAUAAAAUUUCUUUGGCUUCUAAAGUUUUCAGAGAUUGAAUUAAUGUCAUUGUUUUUUUUAGUACAUCGGAAAGAUAAAUUGUACCAUCUAGAAAUUGAUCCCCGAACCUCUCUCAUCCCAAAUCAUAUGUCUCCUAGCUCUUACCAUUAAUGUCAUUGUUAUGUAGAUAUAUAGUAGACAAUCUUGCAAAUAUUAAUGAAGGGAUUUGCAGGGUGAAUGACCAUGGUUCAAAUCCCGGCGAAGGAACUAACUUACUAACAAUUAACAACUAACAUUUGCCUAUAAAAAAAGUUACUCUUAAUAUCGGCCUAUAUGCUUUUGUUGUUUUUUUCGAUCCCUGAUCCAUCUUCCACUGCGAAUGAUACAUCACUCUAAAUUUUGGAACUUUUCCACCUCCAACACAUUUUUUUACCAAUUAUUUUGGGAAUUUUUCUGAACUUAGCUUGUCAAUGCCAAUGUAACUCCUUCUUCAUUGAGGUCGAGAACCCUACGGUAGAAAUAUAAAGGAUCCCCCAUUCAUGGCUUGUGUUGAAAUAUAAAGGAUUCCCCAUUCAUGGCUUGUGUCAUGCAGACCAAACAAAUACUCAUUACAUAAAGCAGUCUUCGAAUUAGCAAAAAAGACACCAAGUUCUGAUGUAGAAUUAGUGAGUCUACCCAAUAGUAUUGCAGUAAUCGAGAUAAGUUAAUGAUGAUCUAUUGUUUUUUUAAUACAAAAUACGAUUUAUUCAUAUUAGAAUUAGGGAGGCUUAACUCAACCCAAAAGUUAUCUCAAGAGUUGAAGGUUAUUCUACUCUUUAUAAGCACUUGAUUAACCAUAUCUCUAGCCAAUGUGGGACUCUUACACACCCCUCAUGCCCAGGGCUAGACAUCUGGAGCGUGGAAUGAACAUCAACGGGUGGCCCAAAUAUGAAAGGUUUCCACAACAAAUGGAUCUAUGAUAGACUCUGAUACCAUAUUAGAAUUAGGGAGGUCUAACUCAACCUAAAAGCUAUCUUAAGAGUUGAGGGAUGCUCUACCUUUUAUAAACACUUAAUUGGUCAUAUCUCUAGCUAAUGUGAGACUCUAACAAUUCCCAAUAUUGAAAAAUUGAGAACUACUCAUUCUCAAAGUAUGACAAAGACAUCCAUUUUAACAAUAAAGGACUCCGAGAUUAACAUCCUAAAGAAAACUUAAGACUCAAAUACAUGCAAAAUAACACCUUAAAAGUAUAUAUCUCCAUAAGGGGAGAAAGAGAAAGAAUGAGUUAAGGUUAGUGGGUAUUUUAGUGAUUUUAUUCAUCAAAUAUCUUCAUAGCCCAUUUUAACAAUAAACACAUGAACACUUUAAAGAAAACUUAACACUCAAAUAUUACAUGCAAAACAUUACCUUAAAGUUAUAAAUCUCCCCAAGGGAAGGAUAAAGGAUGAGUUAAGAUUAUAGGUAUUUUAGUCAUUUUACUCAUUUAAUCUUAGUCAUCAUAUAUGUCAUGCAACCCCGGUCUACGAAUCUAUUAUAACUAUCAAAAAAUUCCUAGAAUUUUAGGAGGUAUGGGGACUGUAAUUCUUUCUACUUCGAGGGGUAUAAUAACAGAUCGAGAGGCUCGAUUAGAAAAAAUCGGCGGAGAAGUUUUAUGUUAUAUAUGGUAAUAUUUCUGAGCCGCGAGAGCGGUACCAAAUCGAGGCAAACUCUGAAUACUAGAUAUGACCUGAAAAUAAUAAGGGUCAAGGUCGGCCAGUGAGACGAUGAGGGAUAAGCUUCAUCGUCGAGAGGGAAACAGCCCAGAUCACCAGCUAAGGUCCCUAACUGACAUUAUUUUUUUUUUAACUUAAUAAUCACUAAAUUUUCAAGGAAAUCUGUAUCAAGUUUGAAUUUUGAAGGACCUUUCAUUAGAGUAUUUCUGAACAAGUUCCUGGAUAACAAGCCUAAGGGUUUUCUUAUUGAUGAUAGUGACGAUAUUGACGAUAUUGAUGAUAGUAAUAAUAGUGACGAUAUCGACCGUAACCUUGAUACAGAGCUGGAGUUGCUAACUACAGGAUUCAGAAAAGAAAAAAAAAAGAAUUUAUAGAAAAAGGAAUUUUUAUUAUCGAACCAGUCCGCCUGUCUAGAAAAAACAAUGAGCAAUUUUUUAUGUAUGAAACCGCGCGCCUCCUAUUAAUUCAUAAGAGUAAACGCCAAAUUAAUCAACGAAACCCAGGGAUGAUCCCAAUCCGGAAUACGAACCAUAAAAAAAAUACCAAUUUAAACUGUUAGGUAAGGACCAUAAAAUUGUAUUAAAAAAUUUUCUCACGCAAGAGUUCUUUCAGUUUGAAUCAUGGACAAUACACAAACUCACCUACCGUAUAUUUUUUAAUUCAACUUUUUUUUUCUUAUUUCUCUAACACUUUAUUUUAUUAUUAUAUCAAAGAUGAAAAAUCUAUAUGCAUAUAUACGUGAAUUAGUUGAUGAUGCACUCUUGCCGCCAAUAUAGUCUAGCUUUGAAUAUCAUAAUAAGAUGCGCUAAAUAUAAUAUAUAUAUAUAUAUAUAUAUAUAUAUGUUCUUUGACAACAUUCAUGUACUUUUUUUUUUAACGGUGAUAUAUGAAUUAUUAGUGGUGUCCGAACACCCAUGUUUGUAAAGUGUUUUUCCAAAUAUUUAACAUUUCUUCAAUUUAACUUUUACACUAAUCUCUUAGAGCCCCGCUUACAUUCUCUAUUUUCACUCGCAACACUCGUAUAUAUAGUUUUUUAACCCAGAUUUAUUUCACUUGUAAGAAUUUAUUAACGAAUUUAAAUCCAAAGUUAAACAAAAAUACGUAAACUUGGGUAAAUUUGGAAUUCCAUAAAUACUUUUUUAAAAGAAGGAUAAAUUUUUAUCUUAACCUAUCCAUAACAAUAUAUUAAUUAUCUUAGAGGUGGAUACAAUGCUAGGAAGAAAUUUGACAAAUAUAUGACUAGUGUUUUUUACCCGCGCGUUGCACGGGGAAUACAUCUAUUAUAUUUGAUAGGUCAAUUAAUACCUUGAUCAUUAAAAAUAUAAUAAACAACUGAUGAAAUAAAAGAGUAUGAAAUGAUGAGCAAAGUGGACAAAAAGUCUUAAAUUAAAACCCUUGUUGCAUAGAUUGAACUUCGUACAAUUGAAUAACUAAUAAAAAAAUUGGUUAACCAAAUCUCAAAUUAUGCAAAACAUAUUAGGGGGUGUGGUUUAAUGAUGGCUAAUAAACAAUAGCUGAUUUAAUCUACAGUGAAAAAAAGAGAAAAGAUUAUUUAUGUACGUGAUUAUGCGAGUUCAUUUUUUACACAAUAAAAUAAACUAAGUUUGACCCAUAUCAACAUGAAGUCGUUUCACAUUAUUCAUGAGCCUAAAGACAAUAACACAAAUUAUAGAUAUGAAGAAUCACCAAUAAAGCAUUCAGAACACAUUUUAAUCUUAGAAAAAAAAGAAGGCUUAAUACAUCAGAAGGCCCCUGUAAUUGUAAAGGGAAUCAAAUUCAGGGCCUAAAAAAUUUUUGCAUCAAAUUGGGUCCCUACAAAUUUUUAUUUAAUUCAAUUAAGGCCAAAGUGUGCCAGCAGACUAUUUUAUCCCAAUCAUCAAUUCCACGUGGCUUUUAUUAUUAUUUUUUAAUUACAAAAAUAAUAAAAAAUUAUUUUUAUUUCCAGCUCAAUUAAAUAAUCAGAAAAAAAUUAAAAACUUAAUAAAUCAAUCCAGCCCUAAUUAACUCAUCUAACCCCAAAAUUUAUUUUCCACCCACAUCUUCAUCUUCAUUCUGUUCAUCUUCCACUUCCUCUUCUUCCAUCAAACCCAGCAAUCCAGAACCACCACCACCUCCUCUUCUCUCUUCCAUCAAUCCCUAAUCUAAACGGAGGAUUUCUUUAACAAAAGCACAAGAAAACCCCUCCUCCACUAUCGAAGCUUCAUCACAGCCAAGCUCCAAUUUCAUCUUUCCUUUGCAGCAACCCACGGUAGAGAGAAGCAGAAACAGCAGAGGCAAGGGUUUCUCGUAGAUCCAAAGUUUACGGUUGCAUCUCCAAUCUUUACCCUAAACCCAGCAACACAACAACCUUACAACCUUCAUGAACACAGACAGCAACAACAGCCUCCACCACCACAACCCACAACCUUCACCCUUUCUACAGAGCCCAGAAAAACAGACAAGAGAAGGAGAAGGAGGGAUCCAGGGAAAGAGAUCGAGAGAGACAGAGAACCCCCGAUAGAAACCUCACACCCCAACCUCCAUCGAGAUCGAGACGGAGGGGGGAUAGAGGGGCGCGGUGCGAGGAGCCGAGAGACAGCGAAGCGAGAUCGAGAGACGGUGGACCACCACCAUGCCUUGCACCUUCCAUCGCAAACUCCAGAACCCACCUUUGCUUUGGGUUUUUUGAGAUUGGUUGUUGUUCUUGGUGAUGGAGGAGGAAGGAGAGAUUGAGUAUUGUCUGGGUAUUUUUGGUUUCUUGCUGGAAUUUUAUUUUUGGUUGUUGUUCUUAGUGAUGGAGGAGGAAGGAGAACUUGGUUUCUUGUCUGGGUUCAAUUUGGGGAUGGGGAAGUUUUGUAAAUGGGUUCAAUUUGGGGAUGAAAGGAUUUAAUCAGGGAUUGGUUAUAAUUAGAUUAUUAGGUUAGUUUAUUAUUUAGAUUAUGUAAUUGUUUUGUUAAGAGAUUAUUAGAUUAGGAUUUUAUUAAGUUUUUUAAAUUUUUUUUCUGACUUAAUAAAUGAACUGGAAUUAAAAAUAAAUUUUUAAUAAUUUUUAUAAUUUAAAAAUAAAUAAAAAAAGCCACGUGGAAUUGCUGACUAGGCUAAAAUUGAAGUCUGGCAACAUUUGUCCUUAAUUGAAUUAAAAAAAAAUUCUUAGGGACCCAAUUUGAUGCGAAAUUUUUUUAGGCCCUGGAACUGAUUCCCUUUACAAUUUCAGGGGCCUUCUGAUGUAUUAAGCGCAAAAAGAAUGUACCGCGAAAUUUGUUAUUGUAUUUGAUACAUUAAUUAAUACUUAAUGAAGGUACUUUCUUGUUAAAAUAUAUUUCUUCCCGUAGGAGAAUUUAACUCCUAUAAUAAUUUGUACAAAAAAAUUAAAGUGGACAAUAUUAUUAUGUAGUAAAAAAUUAACAUCAAACUAUAUUAUAUUAUGUUUUUCUUGUAACAAAAAAAAAUUCGAUGAAAUCUUAUUAACAUUUAUUUUUAUGUAGAAGUAUUUUCAUGUAAAAUAUUCUUCCUAUAUGUAAAAGCUUUUAGGCUCUUUCUAAUACAUUUAGAUCCAGCUUCUCCUUACUCUCAGGAUGCCUGAAAGUCUUUUCUCAAGUCUAUCUGGUGGGUAAUAUCGAUGAAGAUGAUGACACCCACCAUACCUUGCUUGCUUCAAGGUCGAUCUCUUGUAUCCUCCUCCUGCCGAAGACUUUAAGAGUAAACCUUGCCAUUCCAACUUUCAUCGAUCGAGUUUCAGUUGCUUUUUCUGUUGAUCCAGGUGAGAAAGCUUACUAAGGCAACCUCUGCUUUUGUCUAUCUCCCAAUAUAAGAAGCAUGUUGCUUUGCUCUUAUAGUAGUACUAAUGGGCGUACUUUAGAACAAAUUUCUAGCGAAGGUCUUGACAGUUUGGAACUGAAAGGUUUGGUUCAUUAAUAAUAUCUAGUAGUUUCAUCAUGUUAUUCUGCUUUUGAGCUUGUUGUACUUACCGGAGCAUUUCUGCGAUAAAAAAAUUCAGAAUAGUAAAGCAGUCGUAGUAUGCUCCCUUUACUUGCUCUAGUGCUCAAGUGAUAGCUGAGUGCAUACUGUUUGCAUCUGAAUUAUAUAUAAAAGACUCUUAAAAACAACUACUUAAUUCUCCAUUACAAAGAAUAUACAUUACAUCAGAACCUAAUUAUUAUUUGUCAGUGACAUAAGUGUCAAAAAUAAUAGUAAUGGAAAUUUCGAAUGGUGUGGAUAAGGGUUAAAAGUCCAAUCUCAUAAGAAAGAAAAAUCUCCAUUUACAUCAAAAUCUCUCUCAGAUUUCUCUACCUCACUAUCACCACCGUUUUUCUUAUAAAUUAUCUACAAACACACUCACAAAUUCCACACAGUACCUAACAUCAUAUGCAAAUUUUGUUUUCACUGCAACCAGAGUCUGUUCUCUGGCAUAAAAAAGCACUUCAUAAAGUAAGAAGGUAUCACAUUUUUAAUUUAAAUCAUUAAAAUAUUUAUUUCUAAUUAAAAAAUCAAAUGAAACUUGCUUCCAAAUCAGCAGCAAUCCUAGGUGCUAUUCCUGAUUGUUGUCCAACUUUAACAUGAAUUAAUAUGAACUCAUGCUAAUUCAAAUGAAACUUGCUUCCAAAUCAGCAGCUUCCAGCCGUAUCUGCAUUCUAAGUAACAGAAAAUCAAGAACUCAUGAAGUGAGAUUGAUAGACAUGUUAGAGUAGGAUAGACUAAAGACCACCAAACAUAAUAACAAUAUGUGCAACAUCAAUCUAGCUAUGAUAGUGCAAAGAUAGCAAUCAAAUUUGCAGAUCUAGACAGAUAUGAAAGCCAAAGAAUGAAUUGAAGCCACUUUUUGGCUAUGGCCUUCCAGUGGUUUCCAUAACCAAUCAGAUCUAUUUGUAAGGGGAAACUAAUCACAUGCUACUAAAGAAGAUGAAUGGAAGAAAACCCCUCUAGAAAUUUUAGACCCAUUAUAUUUGUUGAACGGCUAAAACAACUCUUUGCUUUAUGUAGCACUGUUGUUGAAAGUACAAUAACCAAAUCAAAAACAUAUGCUGAUACUAAAUCGUAAUGUGAUAAUUACACACUCAUGCAAGCAAGACUUUCAAUCACACUAAAGUUUGAUUAAUUGAACCAUAGUAGAACAAUGAUUAAUUAUAAAAUCUAAUAUUGCCUUCGAAAAGUGACUUUUAAUAUAUGUAAUGAUGAUAGAUAGAUGUAGAAUUGAUGAAUUAAGUCAGUAAAACUAUAUAUGCAUCACAGUAGUGCAACACCAAACACACAUCUCUAUCUCUUAUCUGGUGAAUAUAUACAUAUGCAUCACAGUAGUGCAACACCAAACACACAUCUCUAUCUCUUAUCUAGUGAAUAUAUACAUAUAAUGGACUGAGAAAAACAUUCAUGAGUACUGGUCUCGCAUGUUUCGUGGCUUACUUGAAAUGAGAGCAAGAUAAGAUCUUGAGUCAUCAAUCAUGUUUCAUCUUCAGCUAGCUGAGAAUCAGAGAGUGUAGUCAGAAAGAGGUAUGCACCUCAUUGUCGUUCUGUACCUACGGAUAAAUUCAUGUCAAAUGUUUCCAAGGAAGCCAAGGAAAUCAAUUUAUUGUUAGAACAUUGGUUUAGGCGUUUAGCAUAUUAGAAAGGAUAGCACCAGUUUUAAAAGUCUAACCUCAAUAGUAUAGCUUGAGCGAACAAAGAUAAGCAGUAAAAUCUCAUCCAUGAUAUGUAGUUCUGUAGUUGUAACGGCAAGCACCAACAAUAAUAAUUAAUUUCCUCGGUGCAAGAAGUAGGCAAAAAGAAAAAAUUACCAAAUAAAAAAGUUGCAAGGAAAAAAAUCUACAACUUCUCCUUUCUCUCCCCUCAAUUCUUUCACUCCCUCAAUCCACUUCACUGACAAUGAUUAGGUUAAUCAAAACAUACACAAAUCAAUGUUUCACCUCCUAUAACAUAGGACACAAAUUUUAGAUGCAAAUUAAGAAAAACGAAUAAAAUAGAAUCACAUACAAAGGAGAAUCAGAAAACAUAAAAAACAAAUUAAAAUAUUGCAAAAUUCCAUAUAGAAUAUAAAAUGGACUCACCAUCCAUGGCUUCCAAAGAAUCUCUUUUGGUGGAAUAUCUAUAAAAAAAAACCUGAAGAAAAGAAUUUGAAAUUAGCAUGGCAAGUGAUGAACGAAAUUGAGCAUGACAAGUGAUGAACGAAAUUAACCUUGAAGUCAAACAUGAGUGAAUGAAAGUUAAAGGUAAAGUAAAAUAAAAUUGAAAAAAACCAUAACACAUUAUGCAAGCAAAGGAAGAAAAUAAUUUGAAACCUCCAUCUGCAAACUUCCCAAUCAGUCCAAGGCAGCAAAUCGGAGGGAUGCGAUUGCAAGUCGAUGGCAAAGUGGUUCCGUUGAGAGAUGAGACGAUUUUAUGGGGGUGGUUCCGUUCAGUGGAGAGAUGAGAUGAAAAUUGCAUAGAGGAGAUGAAUUCCAUGGAGGAGAUAGUGGAGGUAGGCAGGGUUUUAAGAGGGUUUUUGCUGAUGGGAUGUAUUAUUGAUUUAAAUCACUUAUCACAGAUUUUAUAUUAAGAUAAAAUCAUGAAAUAAACAACCUAAAUCCUAAUCAAAUCUAAAAUUUAAAAAUGUACUAAAUAAAAAUAGAUAAAAACUAUCAAAAUCUAGCAAAUCACAAUAAAAACUCAUAAAAUCCGGAAUUAAUUAAAAAUCCAAAAAUUCAAUAAAAAUACCAUAAAAAAUAAUUAAUACUCUAAAAAUAAAUAAUAAUAUAAAUUAAGAUAAAAUACAAAAAUAAACAACAUAAAUCCUAAUCAAAUCUAAAAUUUAAAAAUGUACUAAAUAAAAAUAGAUAAAAACUAUCAAAAUCUAGCAAAUCACAAUAAAAACUCAUAAAAUCCGGAAUUAAUUAAAAAUCCGAAAAUUCAAUAAAAAUACCAUAAAAAUUAAUUAAUACUCUAAAAAUAAAUCAAAAAUAAAUUAAGAUAAAAUCAAGAAAUAAAAAACCUAAAUCCUAAUCAAAUCUAAAAUUUAAAAAUGUAUUUUUUUUAUUAAGGAGAAAUAAGGUCAGGAAAAAUCAGGGCACAUGUGGCAAGUGGGGCCAAGGAGAAAGAGCUUACAUGUAAAAUAUUAGGUGAGAAUUAAUCUGGGAGCGACACAUCACUAACUUGCCCUGUGAGAGCGACACGUCAUGCUAUAAGUUGUUCUUUUCUAAUAUAUAUUGAUAUUGAUAUUGAUGUGCCAUAAAACUCAUGCCACUCCACAUGGAUAUUGACAAGUGCACAAGUUGGUAUAUGGACCAACUUUGUUGCAAAAUCCGGUACCCUGAUUGAGUUAUCACUGCACUGGAAGCUGCAAACUCCAAGAUCAGCGGUGCACGUUUUAGGAGUUACUGGUGGGCUUGGAGAUGGAGGCCCACAAGUGUAAUAACAAGAGCACAGACCUAAGUCACAAGACCCUUGUCCAUCAAUGUGUAGGGCUUUACAUCUCUUAUCACAAUCUGAAAGGAUUGUCUUAUUAAGAAAUCAUCAAGUGUUAAUGUUAAAACCUUUUUAAAAAUUAUAAAACAAAUUUUGACUUGAGCUAAAACUUGUGAAAGCAUUUAAUGAUAUUUCAAUUAAAUAUAAUUGUUAAAAUGUUAGAAUCUUAGAAUUAAUUUAUAUACAAGGUUAAUUAAUAAUAAUAAUUUAUUAAAAUAAUUGUAAUUAAUAUAUUGGCUUAAAAGCACUUUUGGUCCUCACAAAUGCGUUGUGUGCAAAUAUGGUACCUAAACUUAAAAAAUAGCAUAAUGUCUCUCCGACGUUACCUUCCGUUAAUUUUUUUUGGUCCCUCCUCACGUUUCCAUCAAAAAAACUAACGUUUUCUGGAUUUUCAAGAAAAUUCAUCCACUUCUUCAUCUUCUCCAUACACCCCUUCCAUCAUCUUCAUCAUAUUCUUUAAUUUUUUUUUCCAUAAAAUCCGAUUUCUUCAAAACAGAAACAAAAAAAUCAAUUUUUUUUUUCAGAUUUCCAAAAUCCCUAACCUUCAAUCAAGGCAUCAUCUUUGAGUUUUUCUUAAGACUCAAACCAGAAUUUCCAGACCGUAGAAAAAUGAACAAGCUCAGCCUCUUCUGUCCUCGAUCAAACCCAUAUCUAGCUUGUGAUAAAAAUUCAGAAAACAUUGGUGUGGUUUUUACAAAAGCCCUAUACGAAUUGGCUUGUGAUAAGGGAAGAGGAAAUCCUAAAUCCUAUUUAAAGAGUAAACUUUGCUUUCAACAUUGCAGAACAUGUUAUUAUUGUUGAUUUAAAUUUAAUUUUGAAUCUAGACAUGAUUAUAACCCUUUUUUUGAAGUAAAUAUAACCCUUUAAACUUGUGAAAGUAUUAUUUUGUCAAUUUUGAUGUGAAUAAAAUUUAUGUUAUUUAGUCAAAUCUAUUUUUAUGAAAAGUCUUACUUUUUAAAUAAAUAUUGUUAUAUAAUCAAUUCAGUCAAAUCUACUUUUAAUCAAAAUCAGUAUUAUUAAAAUUAAGUUAGAAAACUUCAGUGCAAGAACAUAGUUGCAGUAGGAAUUUGGAUAGGAGGAUAUCAUCAUUAGAGUGAUGAUAUAGGCAUCCAUUUUUACUAGACACCCAAUAAUCAUACAUUUUAAUGAUAAUUUUGAACCGUCGCAAAUAUUAGCAAAAUUAUGCAUUAAAUGGUGGUCAACCAAAAUCGUAUGCCUUCUGAUCAUUUCCGUUAUUAAAACCUAGCAGCGGAUAUCAUAGUCCUCCUAGUGUUUAUUUUGUUGCUUUGGGACUUUGGGUUGGCGGUCUGGAUACGUUGGAGGCCUGUCUUGUCACAACACUAGCAGUCGAACCUAAUUGGCUUGACUUAAUGAGUAGAUAAUAUUUUCUGUCACUGUUUUUCUCGUAAGGAUUUUAUAAUAUUUCCCAUGCAAUUUCGUUUCUAAUUUUUUAUAUUAACUUCCUCUUGUGUUUUUUAAAUAAUUAGAUGAAUCAAAAUCGGUAUAUGUCAUCAAUUAAACUUAUAUCGAAGCUUGUUUAGUAUAGGUACUUGGCUUCAAAUAUUUAUUGUUCUUUGUUAGAUUUAACCGGUAAUAAGGACUGCGGUUCCCGGAGAGGCAACAAUAUCGCUUAUAAAAAUAGUACAAUACUCGGUGGAUAUUUGCACAAAACUGGCAAAAAUUGCAUAUCAAUAAGGAUUGAGGCAGUGCCACAAAGAUAGACAAUUAAGAAAACAGGGGAAAAAGAGGGGGGAGGGGGGUUUCAAUGGCUCAUAGAGCAUGCUAAACACCUAAAUUUUCCACACAGUUAUUGAAACAACCAAAAUACAAAAUAUUCCUUUUUGUGUAAAUCAAGCAGGGCCAAUAUGACUGCUGGGAUUCUUCUACUUUCUUAUACCAUUUCACUUGGCGAGCUCGUUGCGGAUUUGUUUUGCUGCAGCAACCAUGUUGGUGAGGGCUGGCUUCACCUCGGUGUACUUACGGGUCUUGAGACCACAGUCAGGGUUCACCCACAAGACGUUCUUCUCAAGCACUGCAAGCAUCUUGUUGAUCCUGUCAGCAAUUUCAUCAGUAGGUGGGAUUCUUGGGGAGUGGAUGUCGUAGACACCAGGGCCAAUUCCAGCACCAUACUUCACUCCUUCACGGAACACUGACAGAAGCUUCUCGUCGGAGCGAGAGUUCUCAAUGGUGAUAACAUCAGCAUCCAUAUCAAUGAUGGAGUGGAUGAUGUCGUUGAAGUUGGAGUAGCACAUGUGAGUGUGGAUCUGUCAAUACCAAAGUUUAUUAUAACAUGUAUAAAAAUGAAGGAAAGAAAUUGUAACGCGAUGAUUUGUAAUUCAAGAUACCUGAGUGGUGUCCUGAACACCAACAUUGGUGAUUCUGAAGGAGUGAACAGCCCAGUCCAAGUAGUGAGCUUGCUCUGACUUCCUUAGUGGGAGCCCCUCUCUCAAUGCAGCCUCAUCAAUCUGGAUAACAUUAAUGCCACCCUUCUCAAGGUCCUCUACCUCGUCCUUAAUGGCCAAAGCAAUCUGAUAGGUGGUCUCAGACCUACAAAUAGAUUGAUACACCAGGUUAGAUAUGAAUUUGCGGUGAACAUUGGAAAUUUCUCUUGUUGGCUCAUUAAUAUUUAUGUUUUCACAACACAUUAUAAGGGGCUUUGAGUUUAUACCUAGGCUGGUCAUUUCUAACAAAAGACCAGUUGAGAAUGGUGACAGGGCCGGUAAGCAUUCCCUUCAUUGGGCGCUUGGUAAAGCUCUGUGCAAGAGAUGACCAGAAGACAGUCAUUGGCUUGGGGCGGCUCACAUCACCGUAGAUGAUUGGUGGCUUCACACAACGAGAUCCAUAGGAUUGCACCCACCCAUUAACUGUAAAGGCAAAGCCUGACAACUGCUCGCCAAAGUACUCAACCAUAUCAUUCCUCUGCAAUGUAAGGCAUUCACAGUUAUUAGUUGGAAGUACAGUUAUUAGGAUCAGAAAUCUCACAGUAAGGAAGAAAAUCUGGCAAGAGCAUUAAUACUAUCUUAACUUCAACAUACUAAUAGUUAGUCAUAAUGAGAAUAGGAGAGCUCACCUCAGGCUCUCCGUGCACCAGGACAUCAAUAUCAAGCUCUUCUUGAAGUUCAACAACUUUGCGGAUUUCCUCCUUAAUUUGCUUAAUAUACUCUUCCUCAGAGAUCCUGAACAAAACAACAUCAAGGUCAAAUAAAGGAAGGCACAAUUUCAAGUAAACAAAGCAGAGACUAGCAGUCUUGGCAUUUUCUUACUUGUUAGCCUUGAACUCACGGCGCACCCUCCUCAGUUCAACAGUCUGAGGGAAGGAUCCAAUGGUGGUGGUUGGGAGGAUUGGAAGGUUAAGCUUCUUUUGUUGAGCAUCCAACCUGGCACUGACAUUGGUAGCACGGCGAUGGUCAGAACCCUUCAAUGCAGCAGCCUGCGAGGGAAAAGGAAAGAAGCCAUGAGCAACUGCAGAAUAAUUUUGACAACAUAUAGUUAGCACUUGAACAUAGACAAGAAAAAAUAAGCACUCACAGCCUUCUGAACAGCCUCAUUAUUCACUCUUGGAGAGGACUUUCUUGAAGCCAGAGCUGCAGCAUUAGCAGAGAAGAAGGCCUGAAAAUGAACCCAGAAAACAUUGAGUCAGUGAAUUAUGUAAUGAAACAAACAGGAAUUUGCAUUUUCAUGAGAACUCCAUCAGAAACCCUCAAAAAAUCACAAACUAAAUUUUGUUCCCAUGGUUCUAAAAUUGUCCAUGACCAGAGCCGAUGGUUCUGAAAUUAUUCAUGCAUACAUUGGAUCAACUAUUAAACUUUUCAUCACUUCAUAAAAUAACUAAACUUUUCAAUUACUUUGUUAAUACAAUAUAUAGUUAUAGUAUAUACCGAUAUAAUAGACUAAUCGUAACUUUUUAAUCAAUAUUUACAUCAACUAUUUUAAUGAAAACUUACUUUUAUCAUCCAUAAAUUUCCCCCAACUAAAUUAAGAUAGCAUAAUUGUUUCUCGGUAUGAACACGAACAAAUUAUUUGAACAAAAUAUUUCAUCAAAUGUGAAAACAACUAAAAGAAUAUAUACUACCUCGUCCUUCUUGCCAGACAAUGCAGUAGCCAAUGCAUUCACUUCCACAAUUUUUUGGGCAGCAAAAGCUAACCAUGACUUGAUCUCAUCGUCCAACUUGGUCUCAUUAACAAGAUCAACAGCAGUGUGAAGAAGUGAGCAAGAGGUGGACACAACAAGUUUGUCUGCAUACGGUUUAAAAUGUAGAUACAUCAAAUGACAAUAGUAAUUGCAAAACCCUACCAAAAUUUCCUACUAAAUGAAUAUUUAUGAAUACCUUUGCCAACAAUGCCCUCAAGAGCCGCUAGUGUGUUAAGAGAAGAAGCAAGAUCGUUAGCCCAGAUGUUCCUUCCAUCAACCACACCAGCAAAGAGGUACUUUCCACUGGGGAAUCCACCCUUGACCAAAUCAAGAGUCUUAGUUCCACGGACUAAAUCCAAACCAUAAGCGGUGACACCGCUCAAAGAUGUGAGGGUCUUGAAUGCCUCGGCAGGGAUGUCAGCAAAGUAGGUCUCAACGAGAACAUUCAAACCAGACAAAGAAGAUGCAAGUUCUGAGUAUGCCUCAGUAAAUGCUGCAAGCUUGUGAGAGUCAAGGUCCAAAACAAGUGUAGGUUCAUCAAAUUGAAUCCAUGAAGCACCAGCUGCCUUAAGAUCAGCAAUAACCUCCCUGAGUUUACAGUUUAAAGCACGUCAGAUAACACGAAUACGCACGGAAUACAAUAAUAAUAGCCGAAAACAAUACAAAAUCCUUACUUGUAGACAGCAAGGACCUUGGGGAGCAGGGAGAGGAGAGAAAAGGAUUUCUCAACACCCUUGGCAGGCUUGGAGAGCAACAAGUAUGACACUGGGCCAACGAGGACUGGAACGGUA